AUAAGCAAGUGUUUGAUUGAGUUUCACUUGACAGGUGGAAUAAUUUUAUUGGACCACGUAAGUGGUCAGCUUGUCAGUAUUAUCCUAGUUUUACUCGUCUCGUGGGUUUGUCUUUGCUUCGUUUGUGAUAAAUAAUGGGCUCCAAGCGGCCAAUUUAUAUCUGAAUUCGCCCCUUUCUUGCCUUAAGCCAAAAACCCUUGCUCCCCAUUAAGCUUUUUUGCCCUCUUCCAUAAUUUUGAUACAUUUAUAUUCUCUUUUGCCAUGUGUAGAGGAAGUCUCUUACUAGUUGCAUAUGGAGCCCUUCUUCUACUCUUUCUUCUUCCCUUUAUUUGUUCCCAAACAUCGAUACCUGAAAAUAAUUCUGUUUGUACUCUUUCUUGUGGCAAUAUUAACAUAAGCUCUCCAUUUCGGUUAAAAGGAGACCCUCAACACUGCGGCAACCCUACGUAUGAGCUAACUUGUGAGGAAAAUGUUACAGUCCUCUACUUUUAUAACCGAAAGUUUUACGCCAAGGCGAUCAAUUACAAUAACUUUACAAUCCGAGUUGUGGAUGCUGCUGUUCAAAAGAAAGAUAACUACUACUCCAUCCCACGUUACUCUUUAACCUCAUCCAGCUUUGGUUAUUGGGAUCCUUACAGCACUUCUAGUCCGACUGACGUGGGGUUCAAAUAGUCCAGAGAUAAGUUACACGGCACGGCCUAUAAUUUUUAUGAACUGUCCAAAUCCAAUGCAUUCUCCUGGCCUUGUAGAAACAGCUCCAUGCGUCAAGGACGGCACCUGCUCUUCCAAUUCUUCUCUGUCCAAUGGUUUAAGAAUGUUUUCUUAUUCCAUCUCUGGCUGGAAUGGCUCUGUAACUUUUUUGGAUUUGGGGGUGUCCUGUGAAAUAACGCAGAUGCUUAUGGUCUCACUUUCGUUAUCCGUACAAGACAUGCAUCAACACUUGACGUCCUGUGAAGGCAUAUAUAGUGAAAUAGCGCAUGGCUUCGAGCUUUCAUGGUUUCACCAGGCUUGUAGCACCUCAAACUGCACAGAUGUGGAGGAAUGUGUGCUCAACAACGUGAGCAAAAUUGAGUGCUUUCGCUAUGAACCCAUAUAUGAACCCAGAAAAGGUAGUGUCUAUUAUUCCUCUUAUUCACAAGGCUAGAGUAACCAAAUUAAUUCAGCAAAUAAUUAGUCUUCAAUUACUGGGAGUCUGUCUGUCUAUGGAGAUUUAGGUUUUACAACUCCAGAAUAAAUUAUGUCAUAUAAAUAUUGACCAGAUGAAUGGGAGAGAAGCCUUUAUUUCUAUUAAGUACGUAUUCGAGGCUAAAUUUAUUGAGGAAGGAUCGCUACCUUUCUUUUUGUACUCUCUCUUUUUACCUUUUUACUUUAUUUUUAAGAUCUUACAUAUUACUUGAUAAUCAAAACUGUUUAUUUUGCAUACCACUAUAAACUAAUACUGCAAAAUACCCCAUUAAUCAGAAUUUAGAAAUCAUUUCACUGUUCGAUUAACGAUGUCAUGAUUUUUUGUUUAACUAAAGCACAUGGUUCACCUUUUAUUGAAUUCAUAUAUUGUUAUUUUUUCUAGUAAUAUUUAGAAAAUAGGCAGUUUGGAAUAUCAAGUAAUAUUGUAAGAUCUUACAAAAAAGUAGAAGGUAAUAAGUGAAAGUACAAAACAGAAAGGUAGCUAGCAUUCUCCUAUGAUAUUAAUUUUCACCUUUUUUUUUCUCUUAAUGGUAAAUAAUAUAUGAUCCUUUAGAGGAAAAAUAAUAUAUAUGAUCCUUAAUGAUAAUUCUUCUUCUUUUGCAAUGCAGAACAUUGGUACAUCAAGAUACUAUGGGCACUAGGCAAGUGGUUUACUCUCUAACGCAGCUUCUAUAUAAUACAUGUGUAGUUAGUUUCUUUAUUUGUGGUCACCUUGAUAUUUAUUAAACUUAAAUUACAUUUGGAAACUAUGAUCGAUAUUCAUCACUUUGCUGCAGAAUUGGUUUUGUACCAGAUGUAUUUGUUCAUCCGCUAUGGACGGUUUAUCCCUAGCGACGUGAUGAGUCAUAAGGCCCUUUACGUGUGUCCGAUAACUGUGGCCUCUCUCCUAGGUAGUGUGAACUACUCGUACUCAGCUAUCAUGCAACUUUUUCUAGCUUCAGAUACUCAUCAUUAAAAAAUGAAUGUUUGAUGAUCACUUUGUCUUUGUUUUCAUUCUUAUUAUUAUGUUUUAGUUAAAGGUUGCAGGGGAAUAUGGAAGAAUAUAUAUGAGAAAGAUGUGAAAAGGACAGGGAGGAUCGAGGUGGAUAGAGAAAUUGUUAGUCUUUGAAACAAUCUCAAAGAGUUUUCCAAUAAUUUUUUGUUUCAUAAAUUCUCCAUUUCUCCAUCAUCCCCCACCCCCAUCCCCAUAUCUUCUUUCUACAAUUUCCCCUCGCCUUUUUUCCUCUCUCUUUUUAGAUUAAAAAUUAAAACUAAAGGAUUUCCAAACAGUUGCUUAAUUAAUGAAAAAUAUUGUUGCACUAAAGGAACAAGUUUGAUGAUAUUACAGCAAUCAAUCUAUUUGGUGACUCCAAUGUUUUUGAAACGUGCAGGACUGUUCCAAGUAGUCAAAUUUUUAUUUGGCUUUCCCUGUUUAAUUGCAUUAAUAAUAUACAAAUGCAAAAGGAGGCACUUGUCCAUGUAUGAAAAUAUAGAAGACUUUCUGCAGAAUAAUCAGCUCAUGCCAGUAAGGUACUCUUACUCGGACAUAAGAAAGAUGGCCAGAGGUUUUAAGGACAAGUUAGGGGAAGGUGGCUUUGGUUCUGUGUACAAGGCAAAGCUUCGCAGUGGCCGUCUUGUUGCCAUCAAGAUGUUGGGCAAGUCGAAAGCCAACGGGCAGGAUUUUAUCAAUGAAGUUGCUACCAUCGGAAGGAUUCACCAUGUUAACGUGGUCCAACUUAUUGGUUUUUGUGUGGAGGGUUCAAAACGUGCUCUUUUAUAUGACUUCAUGCCUAAUGGGUCUCUUGAUAAGCACAUAUUUUCUCAACAAGGAGUUAUCUCCUUAAGUUGCGAGAAAAUGUCUGAAAUCUCACUUGGAGUGGCUCGUGGUAUUGAAUAUUUGCAUCGAGGAUGUGACAUGCAAAUUUUGCACUUCGACAUCAAGCCUCACAACAUUCUUCUCGACGAGAACUUUCUUCCGAAGGUUUCAGAUUUUGGGUUAGCAAGGCUAUGCCCAUUAGAUAAUAGCAUUGUGUCUUUGACUGCAGCGAGAGGAACCCCCGGAUACAUAGCUCCAGAGUUAUUCUACAAAAACAUUGGAGGUGUUUCAUACAAAGCUGAUAUCUAUAGUUUUGGGAUGCUACUGAUGGAAAUGGCUGGAAAAAGAAAGAACUUAAACGUAAAUAUAGAACACUUGAGCCAAAUAUACUUUCCGACAUGGGUUUUCGACCAGCUGAGUGGAGGAAAUGACCUUACAAUCGGAGAUGCUACAGAGGAGGAAAAGAAAAUCAUUAAGAAGAUGAUUAUUGUGGCGUUGUGGUGCAUACAAAUGAAGCCUAGCGACCGUCCUUCUAUGAAUAAAGUAGUAGAGAUGCUUGAAGGAGAAAUUGAGAGCCUUCAAAUGCCUCCAAAGCCUUUCUUAUACCGACAACAAAUGCCAGAGGUGGUUACUGGCGACAGUUCAAGUACCGCAUAAGCUGCAUCGACAACGACAACAUCCACGGAAAUUGUUUUGAUUGCAGAUGAAAAUUCAGAGAAUUAAUAUAGCUAGUAGCAAUGUUGAUGUGCAAAGGAACGUGUAGUGUACCCAAUAAGCACAAAUAGACUACUUGUAUUCAAUGGCAUUGAUUGCUUUCUAGUUUUCAGUUUUUAGCUUUGGUACGUACAAGGAUUAGUUUAUGCACAAAUUGUCUCUCGAUUAGUAUGGAAAAGCUUUAGAUAUAUAAUUUGUGUAUGAGCAAAGUUCGAUAUCUAUAUAUUAUGUUGAAGAAUGCAAUCCUACAUAAGAAACUAAACAAAUUGCACAGCUUAUAUCGAAUGGUUCCAAUUCCAGUUGCAUAUGAGAAGCUUUAAGAGGAGAAGGUACCUGAUCAAGGCGUGGCUAUCUUUGAUUAUUUUCUCAGGAUGUGCAUUUGAAUUCAAAUUAACUUAGAAAGGUAGAACUAAUAUUUAUUCUUCAUACAAAGACUAAAGCAUAUUGCCUUCCAUAUGCGACCCAAUUAAUAUUUAUUGCAAUCAGUAGGCUUAAAAGAGAGUCUCUUUCGUUUGUGCCAUGUUGCCAAAGACAGCGAUUUCUCAACGAAUGGGUCUGAAAGCUAAGCAAACUACAUCCAUUGACACUCUUAAGAAAGUGUUGAAAGCUUGUAACUUCACAUCUGCACCAGUGAAAUCCGCAGUGAUUACCGGAGCUUUGAUAGUCGAUUAGGUCUUGUAGCUGAGGCUUAGGAAGCGUUCAGGGUCAGUCAGACGUCUUAAUCUUAUGGACUCACCGUCAAUUCCAGCUUAUUGUAUAAGUCCUCUGGCAACAAUGUCAGCGUAGUCCAUGAAUCAACGAUAAUAUUGCCCUUUGCUGGAGCCAAUGAAGGGUUCAGUGAACUGUUAUAUUGCAAUCUCUUACGCCCAACGCUCAUUGCUUCAAGCCUUAGAUACUAUAAAGAUUUUGAGCCUCCAGAAAGUAAUGGGGUAGAAACCGCUGUGGUGCCGGAAACCACAGCUUCAAUGCCGAAGCUCAUUGUGCUUGAUGAGUUGAAUCCUGAAAAAGCAUGCACAAGGCAGGAGGAAAAUUUCGCAUCGAUUGAAGAACUCAUCUGAGAGAUGAGGGACACCGGUCCACGUCCAAGCCCAAUCAUGCCUGAUCCAUUUCUGUUAAAGAGGCCUCCAUUGUCUUGUCCACAACCAAACAUCAUUUGUGGGAAUGAAACUGGUUGCCCAGCAGUGGAGUUAAAUGUGACACUUUCUGUGGCUACAACUCACUUGCUGUAGGAUCUGUCCCCGUAAGAAACUGUGUAAUUACAAACUCCAUCUGUGUCGGGAGGAGAAGAGGUUCCGGUCACGAAUUUGCAUUGGCUUGAGUUACGAAGAACUUCUGCAUACGUUUUCAAAUUCUUUGGAUCAAAGAUUGGCGCAUUCUGCUUGUAACAAUGCAGGGCAUACAUUGCGUCCAUGUAAGAUCACUACCUGUAUCUGCAACGCCUAAGAUUUCAAGAGGAGGUGUACCUACUGAUAUUUUCAGGUUUCAACCCCUUAGAAGAAGACAUAAAGAGUUUUUUAACUGAAAAGCUUCUUCGAGAAGCCCUUCACGACAAUAUGCAUUGAUUAGUGUAUUAUAUGUCACAAUAUCUGAAAGCACCCCCUUCUCUUCCAUAUCUGAUAAGAAGAAUUUAACGCUAUCAAUUUAGCGAGCUUUGCAUAAGGCAUUGACCAUUAUAUUUAGCGCUGGUUUGGUAUUGCUGUGCUUUGAAAAAAAAGUUGUUGUGAGAAUAAGCGGCUGUGCUAUGAGAAUAAGUAGCUGUGAAAUAAAUCAGCAGAGUGUUUGGUAAACUUUUUUGUAAAAGUGCUUUUGGAAAAGAAAAAAAACCAAUCUGACCGUGGGUCUUUUCAUUAAAGGAGCACUGUAGCUCUGUGUGCUUUGAAAAAAAACCAGUUUUCCAAAGCUACAAAUAGCAGCUUUAGCUUUUUCCUUUGAUUUCAGCUUAUUCUCACAGCAGCUUCUAAAAUAAGCCAUUUUUUUUCAGUUUACCAAACACCUAAAACCCUCACAGCUUUUUUUCAUGGGUGCUUUUUUUUUAAGCACCUCACUCCCAAACCACCCCUUAGUGUAUAAAUAUUUAACUGAAUCCCACUGCUAACAACUUCCCCAUAUACGACCCAUGCCAAAUCAAUCCACCCGACCUUCACAAGCCCACCAAGAAGACUAUUGCAAGCAUUUAUCGAAACACAAACUCCCUAGCUUCUAAACACCUGAAACGCCUCAAAUCCUUCUCUCAAUUUCUUAGCCUGCACAUAAGUUCUAACAAACAGAUCAAAGACCAAAGAACUUGAGCUGCAACUGCUAUAAGUUGAAACCAAAGAGUCUGCUACUUCAACACGCAAAAUGCCACUCUUUCUAACCAUUCUAAGAAUCAGAGCUUGUGCAUCCGACACUGUUCAACUACGCACCAACAUGUGAAUCAUUGCACUCAAAGACAGUGAUGAAUGCUUAAAAUCAGGACUAUUUAACAGAAUCAAAUCAAUAAACUUCAGACCCAGUUGCAAAUUUUCACGGCAGCAAGAAAGAACAACAACAAUAAGAGACGGGUUUAACCGAAACAGAAAGCUGCGCAAAGAGGUGAGGUUACCUUGCUUCAGACCUAAUAAAAUCUUUUCCACCAAAAGAGAAUCUGAUAAAGAAGCUGAUGAAAACAGUUCUUGGCUUGUACUACUACAGGGUUCUUGUGAUUGCAUACUUUUAAGACCAAGUUCCAGGUCAUUUGAUGGACAAUAUGCUAAACAAUGAGGUCUAUGAGAGUGAAAGAGUGAGUGUUUGUUGGUUUUGAUCAGGUUGUGCGGGUUCUCGGACCUACAUUUCUCAAAAUUAGUCAAUGGGUUCGCAUGUUUGAAACUAGUUACAGCCAUUGAGGAAUGAAUUCAGAAUUCAAAAAGAUGUGGGAUGCUUCGGGGCUGAAAGGGCCUGUCUACUGAUUUAAAGUUCAUUCCAGUUUGGCUUGGUUAGGUCCCAAACCAAGAACCAGUACCAAACAGUUGGUAGGCCAUAGAGUUGAACCGGAAACUGAGAACCGAAAACUUGGACCUGCAAUAGACUGACCGUAUACUGAAAUUUUAAGUGUGGUCUGGUCUCAUUGAAUUAUAUCCUCAUUUGUAGCAGGUUGAUCCUGAAAAAAGUAAAUAGCAUUCAUCAACAUUAAAAAACAGAGGAAAAUGAGAACAGCAGUUCAACAGACAUUGGAUUGCAACGAGAAUCUCCCCAAAUGGGCAGAACGAUUCGAACAGACGAUUAAUUCAUUACAAAAAUGAUCAUCCAGAUUAAAAAAACGUUAUAGGUACGAUUAUUUAAUCCAAAUUUCCAUGCUUGUUCCUAAAUUCUAAGAUAUUUUAUCAAAAAUUACACUAACGGCACAUAGUUAGUUGCAAGAUAUUUCAGCCAAAUCUUGUUCCUGAGAUUUUAAGAAUCACGGAAAGUAGAAGAAAAAAAAUUAUGAAAUCUGAAGUUUACCUCAGUGAUCGGGCGGACCAACACCAACGGCGGCGACAGGAAGUGAGAGCAGCGAACGAUGGGCUAUCAGGGAGUGGAUGACGACUCCAAGAGUUCGAGCUUCAAUAGAAACCUUCAAUGGAAGAAGAGCAGGAUGAGUUCAGAUGAGAGGUUGAGAGGAACAGGAGGAUUCUGGUGGUUGUAACGUUGAGAGAGAGAGAGAGAGGCAGUAGGCGGGAGAGGAUUCAGAGAGAGAAAGCGGUCCACGUAGAAGGUUUAGUAGGCAGUUCAUCUCCAAACAUGUGUUAUGGCAAAACCCCGUCCAGAAUGAUCUCUCCGUCCCAAUCUCUCUCUCCUCUCUACUACUGACCAGUUACGUUAAAUUAUGUCAAUAUCUUAUAUUGAUUUUUUAAAAGAGAUAAUAAAACAAAAAUAACAUCUGAAAUGAGAAGAGGGAAGAGAAUGAGAAUAGGAGGGCAAGAAAUCUUACUCUUAGAAUUAUAGCCAUGCUUAACCAUCUCCCACCAAACCGAACCAUUAAUAACUAUUAAUUUAAAGUUUAUACUUUAAAUUUAUUAGUUAGUAUAAUUAAAUUAGGGGUGUGAUAUUCACACACCCAUUUUUACUUCUUCCACACUUUUUUGGUUUUCGGCCGUCAGAUUGAAUGAAUUGAAGAAGAUCAACAGACAUAAAUUAACAAAGGGUGUGUGAGAAGUAAAAUGAGACGUGUGGAUAGCACACCCCUUAAAUUAUCGUUGGAUGAUUUCAAAUCUAAUGGUUGAAAUUGAAUCCAUUAUUACAACCGAAGAGUUGGCCCUACAAAAAGGACUAGGAGGGGGCUACAUAUGGCAAGCUUGAUGCUUCUUUGACCAAAAAAUAGCUUAGUAGGUUCCAUAGAGUUAUAGCUCAAUCAUAUGUUGGAGAUGUGUUUUUAGGCAAUUCAAGUCUUUCUUGGUUUUUUAAACCUUUUAGCAUUCUCCAUUGGAAAUAGCCUUAAAAACGAACACAGGGUAACUUAAACCUACAGAUAAAGGUUAACCGGUAACAUAUGGGCAGAUGUGCAAUCCUAAGCUAUCAGCUUAAACUUUCGGUAUUAAGCUAUCAACUUAAAUAAUUAUUUUUUUUACAAGGAAACAAAUACGAAUUUAUAUGACCAAAAAGAAUAAGAAGAGAGAAGAUAGUUUCACGUCAUUCAAAUCUCUUUUAUCUACAAAACUUAAUCGCCUCAUCGAAUAUCUAACCCAGCAAAUCCAAUUGUAUAAACUUUAAUAACUUUACUCAUCCAAUUUCAUCCAAUCUUUUUGAAAUUGAUACCAGGUGGAUUCAACUGUACUUCAAAAUCUAUAUGUGUAUUUCUCUAACUAGUCAGCAACACCAGUUAACUAAGAUCAAAUGAUUAGAUUAACAAUAGUGGAAGCAAUCAAUUUAAACCCUUGAAAAACUGAAGAAAUCUCAGCUAACUUAGAUCUACUUUAGUACAAAUUCAAAUGUUGAUUAUCUUAGUUGCAAGGAUAGGUUAUGAUGAUCACAUAUCAUAUAGAAUUAUUGAAGUAUAAAGCCAAUAAACACAAUAAUCAACACAAGACGUUUUUGACCAGAAAAAACCCACCUCUAGGUUAAAAAACCGGGGGCUUAACAUUGAGUCCAAUCCACUAGUGUAAACAAAGGUUCAUACAAAGACCACACAAGCUCAAUUCUAGAUCCCUAUCUAUGGAGCAGCUUUACCUUUGUGCAACAUUAGCUUACACGAGAUGAAUUCAUAUGAUCUUCACGAAGUGGCAUCUCCUCCUGAGCUCAUCACCUUGUGGCACCGAUAACCAACACGAUCAAUGCAAAUGAUAUGAUGAUGAUGGAUUUAAACACCAGUCAAAUUCUCCAAUCAACAUUUAAAGGAAUAUCCGACUAUAAUCUCAACUUGAUCUAAUUGAGAAAUCAAUACACAAACUAGAUCAAGAACACAACACAAAUUGAAAAGACUAAUGCAACCUAGAUGCACAAUGAUCUUGAGAUAAAAUGCAUAAGAACAAUUUUGUAGUUAGGCAACUAGAUGAGAAGGCACAAAGCUCAAACUCAAUUUUUUAAGAUAGUGAAAUGUUUUAGCCAAAGAGACAAGGAAGGCAACUAAGGGUUUAACAUGGGAGAUACCAAAUUUUUUGUCCAAACAAGGACAAAAGACACUUGUCAAUGCAUAGCUCAAUCUAAGCAAAUCUAAGGCUGAGAUUUCAACCUAGAGCAAAGAUUUCAGAAAGCCCAUGUGAGCUGACUUAAAAAGCGUGUCCAGACAACUGGACAUCAGUGACUUUUUGACUGGACAACAAAACUAGAUAGAAGGAACUCAGGUUAAUGCAUGGAAUGUAUAUGAAUGAUCAAACCUUUAGUGAAGAUAAAUUGUCUUCGAUCAAAGCCUUCAGAUAUAAUAUCCAACAAGAUGAACCCAUACUAGAGUUGUAAAAAACAGAGACAAUCUAAGAGUAUGUGAGGUAGUAUUUACAACUUUUGACAAGGAAAACCAAAUAGCUUAAAACUAGACUUCACACUUUUCUCAAUGAUAUUCAAACACCGUUAGUUACAGAGCACCAAAAUAUUUGAGAUUAUGUGGUUUUGAAAAUUGGGAUAUUUAAAACAUGUCUCUCUCUAUUUUUCAUAUACGAAAAGGAAAAAACAAAAAAAUAUAAAGGAGAAAAGGGGAGUGAAUGAUUAAGAGAGAUGAAGAGACGAAUGGGACGGCAAGGGAAGAAGACGAAAGAUUUCACGUGGGAAUUUUUUUAAUUUAAUCUCUUUGCAGAAUUAUUGUGUUUUGAUGUAACAAAGAUUGUUUAAGUUGAUAGCUUAAUCUACCAUAAUAUUAUCUGAGAGCUCAAAUACAAAAGAACAUCAUCGGUCCUUAAAAUGAGGACCUAGCAAUUUUGAACAUAUGGGUAUUUUGUUAUCUUGUGAUGUGAAAUCUCAAACCACUUAGGACACGUUUUACAUAUCUGGAAUCAGAAUAUAAAUGAAUGGAAAGAUGAAUUUUCAUUUUUUUUAUACAACGUUAUAUUUACAUACUAGGAUGAGGGUAUGAACAUGGAAACUCCUGAAAUUCAAUGACAGAAGAAUUACACAAGUGAACAGGGUUGCAAUCUAUGGGAUACAUUCUUUACAAGAAUUAAUCAUCUAAUGUGAUAUGCAAAAGUGUCAAAAAAGACCAAAAUAUGUUGCUUGAUCCAUGGCCGUAGAACCUUAAUAUUGAUUGAACGGAUGUCACAAUUUUUGUAGUGGUAUGUAGUGUUUGAUUUUAUUGGUAAGGAAUUGGCUCGUAUGAGUUAUGGUAGAUAAUUCUCACAAGUACGAUGAAGAAUUUAGGAAAAUCUUUCUAAAUUUGUGGUGUGGCUGGAGGAAUUUGAAGAAACUGAAUUUUGGAGAUUGCAAUGUAUUUGGUAUAACAACUCUUGUUUUCAUUGGGGAAUAUUUCUCUAACUCAAUAAUUGAAAUUUCUUAUUGAGUUUUCUUUUUCUCUUUGUGUUGAUAUUCUAGACCUGGAAAUUUCUUACACGACAUGUUAACUCGACCGAAAAUAAUACGAAAAUAACGAGUUUCAAGUUAACACAUUAACUAAUUGAGUCGUUAUUGGGUCAAACAUUAAGAACCCAUUGGUUUACCUGCGGAUUGUAGAAACUCAUGAUUCUUUGAGAGAACAAUUAGAGAUAGAGAGAGAAAGAAUUUUAGAGAGAGAGAGGAUUGAAUAGAAUGAUUUUCAUUAUACUCAGAAUAUGUACAAUACAAUAUAUAUAGAUACAACCACCUACUCUACCAACUAUAUCUUAACAGAUAAGAAAUCUUUUUAAUCAGAUAUAGGCUUAGUUGGUGGUCCUAUUGUAUCCUUAACACACCCCCUCAAGCUAAAGUUAGGGGGUCUAACUGAAAGCUUGGAAGUAAGCUCGGCAAAACGAGGAGCAGGCAAGGAUUUGGUGAAAAUAUCUGCCAGUUGAAGAAGAGAUGUAACAUGAUUAACACUAACUGUGCCACUGAGAACCUUUUCCCGAAUAUAAUGGUAGUCGAUUUCAACAUGUUUUGUCCGAGCAUGAAAGACCGGAUUGAAGGCCAAGGCAAUUGCACUCUUGUUAUCAUAGAAAAUCGCAGGCGUUUGGAGAAUAGGAAAGGAGAUAUCAUGCAGAAUCUUACUGACCCAACUGAGUUCAGCAGCUGUAUGGGCCAGAGACCUGUACUCAGCUUCAGUAGACGAGCGGGCAACAGUGCAUUGCUUCUUGGCACUCCAAGAGAUGAGAUUAGGGCCAAGAAAAACACAAUAGCCACUUGUGGAUCGUCUAUCAAUAGGACAGCUUGCCCAGUCCGCAUCAGACCACGCAGUAAGGCUUUGACAACCUUUAGUAAAACACAAACUAGAAUCAAGAGUACCCUUCAAAUAACGAAGGAUUCGUUUGACUGCUUGCAAAUGAAUGGUCCGAGGAGAAUGCAUAUACUGACAGACUUGGUUAACAGCGAAAGCCAAAUCGGGUCGUGUCCAUGUGAGAUACUGCAAGGCCCCAACAAUUGAUCUAUAAAAUGUAGGAUUAGAAAGUAAAGUACCAGAGUGAUCCAGUUUGGCAGAUGCAACAGGAGUGGAGCAAGGUUUAACACCAACCAUAUCAGUCUUCUUUAACAAGUCAAGAGCAUAUUUAGACUGGUGAAGAAAAAAUCCUGUAGCAGAUCGGUGCACCUCAAUUCCCAAAAAGUAGUGAAGAUCACCCAAAUCCUUGACAGGAAACAUAGUUUAUAACUGAGAAAUGAUGGAAGUGCAGACAGAGGUAGAGCUCCCGGUGAUGAUAAUGUCGUCAACAUAGACUAAGAUGAAGGUGAUGGUAGAAUCCUUUUUGAUAAACAAGCUGGUAUCAGAGGAAGAAGCCAAGAAUCCCAAGGACAAAAUAGCUUUGUAAAAGGCUUCAUACCAGGCCCGAGGGGCUUGUUUUAAACCAUAGAGAGAACGCUUGAGUUUACACACAUGUUGAGGGUGGUUGGAGUCAACAAAACCAGGGGGCUGGAUCAUGUAGACAUCCUCUUUUAAAGUACCAUGCAAGAAUGCAUUACUGACAUCAAGCUGAUGAAUGAACCAGUCAUAGGAAACUGCAAUGGACAAUAAAAUUCGAAUGGUAGUUGGUUUAGCAACUGGACUGAAGGUCUCAGUAAAAUCAAGGCCUUCUUGUUGAUGGAACCCUUUAGCCAUCAGCCGAGCCUUAUACCGUUCUAUCGAACCAUCUAGUCUAUGCUUGACUUUAAAAACCCAUUUGCAACCGACUAAAUUCAAGUCAGGCUGAAAAGGAACUAGAUCCCAAGUCUCAGUAUUCUGCAAGGCUUGAAACUCAGCCUCCAUGGCAGCCAGCCAGUGCGGAUGCUUGGAAGCUUGUAAAAAUAUGGUAGGGGUUGGAGGAAGACAAGUAAUGGAAUCAACAGAAGCAGGAAUAGAGUGUUUAGUUGCAGUGAAAACCUUCGGCUUGUGAAUUCCAGCUUUAGCCCUUGUAAUCAUAGGAUGAAGAUUAGGAGGAGUAGGUGUGGGAGUAGGGGAGGAACCCGCUGGUAUAGGGCAGGGAAUAAGAGAGGAAGAAGCAGCAGAGGGUGAAGAGGCUGAAGGUUGUAAAACACUAUCGGGAUGAGCCAACUGAACUGCACUUGGGGAAGAAGAAACAGGAAUAUUCAGAGGUAUAGGGGCAGGAACUGUACUUGUAGGAGAAGCAUCAGAAGAUAGAGGAGAACCUGAGAACAUCCCAGUCUUGAACGGAAAUAAGUGUUCAUCAAAUGUAACAUGCCGAGAGACAUACAGCUUAUUAGCCACAGGAUCAAAGCAUCUGUAACCACUAUGAUGAAGACUAUACCCCAAAAAUACACACAGUUUACUCUUGGUAUCCAGUUUAUGCGAUGAGUAGGGCUGCAACCAAGGAUAGCAAGCACAACCAAAAGCCUUCAAAUUAUGAUACUUAGGAGGCGCUUGGAAUAGUUUCUCCCAAGGACUAACGGAAGAAGAUUGAGGUGGCAGGCGGUUGAUGAGGUACACAGCAGUUUGAAAAGCUUCUACCCAGAAUUUUGGUUCCAAACCACUCUGAAAAAGAAGAGUCCUGCCCAUUUCGACAACAUGGCGAUGUUUCCUUUCGGCACACCCAUUUUGUUCAGGAGUAUGAGGGCAACUUAAUUGAUGUGUGAUCCCUUGUGCAUUAAGAAACCCCUGAAAUUCCUUGCUUAAAAAUUCACCACCAGAAUCAGACCGUAAACAUUGUAUUUUACAAUCGAAAAAGGUUUGAACUUUGUGUACAAAAGUCUUGAAGACAGAGCAAACAUCAGACUUAUAUAACAAUGGAUAUAACCAGCUGUAUUUCGUGUAAUCAUCUACUACAAUGAGAUAGUAUUUAUAACCAGUACAGGAGGAAGUGGGAGAAGGACCCCAAACAUCAGUAUGAAGUAAAUGAAAUGGCCUAUUUGUAGUACACGGCAAAAUGGAAAAGGGAAGUUUAGAGGCCUUCCCCAACUUACAAGCAGUACAAACAGAAUCUGUGUUAACAGAACCAAUCACAGGCAGCUGGUGUUUAUUCACAACAUUAUGAAAAACUAGACUCGAUGGAUGACCUAGGCGUUGAUGCCAGACAUAAGCAUCCACUUUAGUAAUCAUCAAUGCAUGAGGAGAGAGAGCAAUGCCUGAGAUUCCAUUGGAUGCAUCCCAGUAGAAAGGAUAUAAGCCACCUUCACAGGGGCCCUGGAAGAGCAUCUUCCCAGUACUUAGGUCCUUGAUAUAGAACUCAAACGGAUCAAAAGUCAGAGAAGCCCAAUUAUCACAAACAAACUUGUAAACAGAUAACAAGUUAUGUGAAGCUUUGGGAACUAACAACACAUCAUUAAGUCGAAAUGUAGCAUUCAUAGUGCGAAUUAAAGCAGAUCCAGUGUGAGAGAUACACAGACCUUUACCAUUACCAACAAAGAGUUGAUCAUGGCCAGUGUAGGGAAUGGCAGAAUUGAGAGAAGCAGGAUCUGGAGUCACAUGAUGAAAAGCACCACUAUCAGUUUGCCAAUAGCUUGGUGGAGGAGAAGUAGCAGCGGUCAUACCAAGAGGAGGUCCAGGAUGAGAUCGUUGAGAGGCAAACUGAGAGAGCUUCUCACAAUUGAGAGCUUCAUGACUAGAUUUAAGGCAUAACUGACACUGAAAAAACCGGCCAGAGUAAGAGGUAUUAUUGUGCUGACCAAAUCCUGUAGAUCUUGAAUUUGGACCCGAGCCAAGAAGACCACUAGAGGUGUUAUGAGUAGGACGAUUGCCUCCAAACGUGCGAUUGUUAUGAUAGCAAUUACGAUUCUGAAAGCGACCUCAAGAAUUACCUCGGUAAGAGUUGACACCAGAAGAACCUUGUUGAGCCGUAUAGGCGUGAAAUGGUGCAGAUGAUGAAGAAGAGGCUUUGGUCUUUCGUUUCUGAAGAGAAAUUUCCUUACUAAGAAGUAAGCCAUGAAGUUCAUCAGUGUUGAUAACCUCAGUUCUUGUUUCAAUAGAGUCAACGAAGGAAUCAUACUCAUCAGAAAGACCAGAAAGGAUGUAGGCAACAAGAUCGGAUUCAGAAAUCGGAUCGCCAGCCGCUGCAAGUUUAUCAGAGAUCUCCUUGAGAGAGUUGAGGUAAUCCGUCAUCGAGGAGUCACCUUUCUAAAUUGUUUGGAUCUUCGAGUGUAAGCUGUGAAUAUAAGUGCGAGAAGCACCAGAAAAACGACGUUCAAGAGACUGCCAGAUAGACUUGGAAUCAUCCAUGCCAACCGUCAAAGGAAGGAGAUCUUUAGAUAAAGUCGAAUUGAUCCAAAUCAUCAAGAGUUGAUCGCGUUCACACCAAGUCUCAUACACCGGAUUAGGAAUUUAAGCGCCGGAAGAAUCAAGCACAAACGGAGAAGGACACACAUCAGUGCCAUUGACAAGCCCUAAAAGCUUGAAUCGCUUCAGAACAGGGAGGAAGAGACUACGCCAGGUGAUGUAAUUGUGACGAGUGAGUUUCGUCGCCACCAUACCAGUAAUGUUCUGAACGGUAAUCGAAGAGAGAGAUUGAGCUGACAGAUUUGGACCGUCGACAUGAGAACCAGAUGAAGCAGCCGGAGAAGAAGAGGUCGCAGCCAUCCAGAAGAGUAGAGAAGAAAAAUUCAAGAAUUUCAAGAAAUUGAAGAAAUUAGGGCAGAGAAGAUAUGUUUGGGAGAAGAGAAAGAGGUGAGAAAAUUCAAGAAGAUGGAAGCGGUGGAUCGAAGUCGGUAGACAACGGCUCUGAUACCAUGUAGAAACUCAUGAUUCUUUGAGAGAACAAUUAGAGAUAGAGAGAGAAAGAAUUUUAGAGAGAGAGAGGAUUGAAUAGAAUGAUUUUCAUUAUACUCAGAAUAUGUACAAUACAAUAUAUAUAGAUACAACCACCUACUCUACCAACUAUAUCUUAACAGAUAAGAAAUCUUUUUAAUCAGAUAUAGGCUUAGUUGGUGGUCCUAUUGUAUCCUUAACACGGAUAACCAGUCGGUUUGUUCGCGGGUCACCCAUUUCAACACGUUAAGAGAAAAGUUAGUUUGAUUAAUUUAAACUACUAAAAAAACAUUACUACAAUAGCCAUAGUAUUUAAUCUCCCAUAAAGGAGUAUAAAAAUUUUCAAAACACAUUAAAAAAUUCAUAAUGAUUAAUUUACAAUUGUAAAAAAUGUGAAAAAUAUGCAAACGCGUGAUGACAUCAUCUACAUUUUGACGAUGGGUACUUCGUCACUUGAAAUUUUAAAACACUACAAACCCUCAUGAAUAGUUUUUUUAUUGGGACCCAAAAUAAAUAAAAAUUCCUAAUAAUUAAUAUGCAAGUAUGAAAAAUGUGAAAGAAUGUACAAAUGCUCGUGAUUACAUUCUCUAUGCUUAGACAAUUGUUACGUUGUCGUUUAGAUUUUUAAAAUCCUUCAAACCUUCAUGAAUAAUAUUUUUCGUUUGAGUGAAAAAAAAUAAUAAUAACUAACAUAGAAGUGCGAAAAUGUUAAAAUAUAUAUAUAUAUAUAUAUAUAUAUAUAUAUAUAUAUAUAUAUAUAUAUAUAUAUAUAUAUAUAUAUAUAUAUAUAUGCAAUCACUUGUGAUGACAACUUUUACAACUUUCGUGAAUGGGUCAACUCCGAAAUUUGACAGUAUAAUUAAUAAAACCUAGAUUUAUAUUUAACCAUAGAUUGACAUUUAUGCUCUAUUUUUCUCACUGGAUUUUAUUUUUUAGAUUUUUGUUUUGGCCAAAUUUUUUCUUGGUCCCUGUGGUGAGACGACACUUUCAAUGUGAUCCUCAUAAUGAAAAAAUUGUUAAUUAAAACCCCAUGGUGAGUUCUGUUAGAAUCCAAUAGGCGAGCUUUUUCACCUGAACAUGAUCAUCAUCAUGGAAGCACUACCGACCAGUGACCAGAUCGACGACAACGUCUUGUGCUUGUCGGUGAUUAUCGACUUGACCAAGUCGUUGCAGCUGCUACUAGUCAGGGGCAGCUGUUGUUGCAGAGAGGAGGAAUGCGAGACUAGAGGGGUUAUUAAAAAUCCACACGAAAAAACAAGAUUGCUAAUACCGUGCUAAUGAGAUCUUUAAUCCAAGUGAGUCAUUUUAUUCAGAUGUUUUCAUUUUUUUUUUUUACAUUUUUCUGCAAUCAAACAACCCAGAUUGUGCCACAUGGGCCCAAACCCUUUUUUUCAAAUGUUUUUCAUUUUUUUUUUUCUGAAUUAAAAAGUCAGAUUCAUCCAACAGCCAUAUGUGCAGAAGGCUAGAAGGCUAAGUGCGCCUAUAGCGCAGGUCCCACUGCCACUUUCCAGUCAGCUCACGCUCCCUCACUCACUCGUGAAGUCCACGUGCUUGACGCAAAAAUAAAUAAAUGAAUAAAUAAAAAAUAAACGUGGUUAACCUCAUGCUAACAUUAGAUCCACUCCGACACUAAAGCGGACAAAAAUGACCCGAUCAAUAGGUCUGGGGUGGGUGGGCCCAUUGAAUCGCCCCACUGAUUUGGAUGGGCGGAGCUGUUUUUCUUAGGUGUGGGAAUUAAACCACCUAAUUAAAAGGGCAAUUUAAUGGAGAAAAGUUGCUUCAAGUAUAAUCCUCACUCACGCCACUUAGUUCUAAAGUCUAGUGGUAUUCCUCUUCACUUGUAAGUGAGAUGUCUUAGGUUCAAUUCUUGACAAAGGUGAAAUUGAACCACAUUCACUAGCCCAUUGUAAGGUUUAACCUACUUUCCCACCCCUUAAUGUAGAUAAUAUGUUUGUUAAAAAAAAUAUAAAAAAAAAAUCCUUACUUAACCAAACGUGGAACACUACUCCGAUCUAAGCUAGUCCGAAUUUAAAAAAAGGGCUAUCUCCAAUGGAGAUGGCUAUAGUUUAACCUUUUUCUUUACAAAACCCAACUCUGAUGGAAAGUUGGGCCAAAACCAAAUGGAUCUUACCAAGCCAAAUUAGAGCAAUUUGACCAUCGGGUUGGGCAUAUUGAGUCCGCCUUGCAGCCCAUUUGUUGGGUUUUUUUUUAUAAGGACGAAAUUUAAAAAAGAAAAAAUUUUAAAAUCUAUUUUUUUUUCUAUAAAUACCUAAGUCAUUUAUACACCAUUUUUCACAUCAUUUUCAUCAUUCCACAUUAUCUUACCUCAUUUUAAUCCAAUUCUUCACAUUCUAUUCACAUCAAACACUCUUUUCAUACACACUCUUCUCUUACCUCUACCAAUAAUCUAAAUUUAAAUUUUUCAAUAUUUAUUCAAAUGACACUCAAAAUAUAUCCGGAUAACCUUAUUCAUUUAGUAACAAGUGACACUCAAAAUAUGUCAUGAUAAAUUUAUUUUAAUAUAGUAGUUUAAUUCAAUUAUCCAAUAAAGUUAAAUAACAAAUUUAUAAAUAAUAAAUUAUUGAAGGGCUAAAAAAUAGCCUAUACAGUUGCAGAUGAUAUAUAAAUAUGGCUUACCACUAUUCAUUUAAAAAUAAUUUCUUACGUAACUUUGAUUCGGACUAAACAUAACCCCUGAUAGACGUAUCAAACGAGACAUAAAUAGCGCGUUGGAUAUUAACCCGGAGACGCCAUUGUGGGACACAUCCUCACGUUGUAAAAUUUUACUUUUAUGUUUUUCCGUUGUUUCAAAACAUCGACGCUGGGCCAAACUUUGAGCCGUCAUUUCGAUCCGUACUCAUGAAAACUGGAAACUUGAGCAGUACAAGUUGCCGUACCAAAGAAGUUGUGUAUCCGUUAUUCUCAAAAGCUCUUUCCUCUGCUAAAAACUGCACUGAAUUACACAAAGUCCACUCACAGAUUGUCACUUCAGGAUUACACCAUUCCGUCUUCUUCUCCGGCAAACUCAUAAGCAAAUAUGCUCAGCUCAGAGACCCCAUUUCCUCCCUCUCAGUUUUCCACCAAGCUCUUCCCAAAAGCAAUGCCUACCUAUGGAAUUCAAUCAUCAGAGCGCUUAUCCACAAUGGGUUUUACUCAAAAGCUCUUGACCACUACACUGAAAUGGAUAAAUUGAAUGUUCGACCUGAUAGGUAUACAUUUCCUUCAGUGAUCAAUGCCUGUGCUGCGUUAUGUGAUCUGGAAAUGGGCAUGAUUGUUCAUCAGCGUGUUUCCGAAAUGAGUUUUGGAUCAGACUUGUACAUUGGUAAUGCAGUGAUAGACAUGUAUUGUAGAUUUGGUGAACUUGGCAAAGCACGGCAACUGUUUGAGCAAAUGCCUCAAAGGGAUAUUGUGUCGUGGAAUACUGUGAUUUCGGGCUACAGUUCGAAUGGAUAUUGGGAGGGAGCUUUGGAAAAUUUUCGUAGGCUGAGAAUGGACGGGUUGUUACCAGAUUCUUUUUCCAUAUCUGGUGUUUUGCCUGCGUGCGGAGGCUUGGUUGAUGUUAAAGAGGGUUAGAUAGUUCAUGCUUUGGUUGAGAAGAUUGGGGUCCAUGCUGAUGUUUUAGUAAGCAAUGGAUUUCUUUCAAUGUACUUCAAAUUUGGUUGGUUAAAAGAUGCUCAAUGUCUUUUUGAGAAGAUGGUUGUUAGGGACUCGGUUAGUUGGAACACUGUGAUUUGUGGGUACUCUCAGUUGGGGUUGUUUAAAGACUCAAUAAAUUUGUUUAGGCAAAUGGUGAAUGAAUUUACACCUGAUUUGCUAACAAUCACUUCUGUUCUCCGUGCUUGUGCUCAUUUACAGGAUCUGGGACUUGCAAGAUAUGUUCAUGACUACAUGAAAAGAAGUGCUUUUCAAUUUGAUACUAUGGCAAAUAACAUACUUAUUGAUAUGUAUGCAAAAUGUGGAAACUUAUUAGCUUCACAAGAAGUAUUUGAUCAUAUGGAAUGUAGGGAUGCUGUGUCAUGGAAUUCAUUGAUCAAUAGUUAUUUUCUUAAUGGUUGUUCUGAUGAAGGGUUCAACCUUUUUAAGGCGAUGAAGAGUAGCGUGAAACCUGACUCUGUGAGUUAUGUGAUGAUACUGUCAAAUUCUACCCAGCUAGCAGAUGUGGACAAGGGGAAAAUGAUCCACUGUGAUACGGUAAAAUUGGGAUUCAAUUUAGAUGUUAUCGUCAACAAUGCUCUUGUAGAUAUAUAUGCUAAAUGUGGCAAAAUAAAGGAUUCGCUACUAGUAUUUGAGAAUAUGGAAGUUCGUGAUGUAGUAACAUGGAAUACCGUAAUUGCUGCUUGCAUUCAUUAUGACGAUUGUAGUUUAGGGUUAAGAAUGAUUCGUAGAAUGAGGAAUGAGGGAGUGAUGCCCGAUGUGGCCACCAUGUUAGGUAUCUUGCCUGUGUGUUCCUUGUUUGCUGCAAAGCAACAAGGAAAAGAGAUCCAUGGGUGCAUUUUAAGGUUAGGAUUUCAUUCAGAUGUCCCUGUUGGGAAUGCACUAAUAGAAAUGUAUUCUAGCUGUGGUAGUUUGGAAAACUCCAUACGAGUAUUUGAGCAUAUGAGAAAGAAGGAUGUGGUGACAUGGACCUCCAUGAUCUCUGCCUAUGGGACAUAUGGUGACGGAGUGAAAGCAGUAAGAACUUUUGCAGAAAUGGAAGCAACAGGUGUCCUUCCUGAUCAUCUUGCUUUCCUUGCUGUCAUAUUUUCUUGUAGCCAUUCAGGUUUAGUAGAAGAAGGUAUGGCUUACUUCAACCGGAUGAAGAACUGCAAACUUGAACCUAGGAUCGAACACUUUGCUUGUGUAGUUGACCUCCUCUCACGGUGUGGCUUAUUAGCUCAAGCAGAGGACUUUAUCCAUUCAAUGCCAAUGAAGGCAGAUGCGAGUAUAUGGGGAUCUUUACUUAGUGCUUGUCGAGCUAGUGGAGAUACAGAUAUAGCUGCACGUGUCUCAGAACAGAUAAUUCAAUUGAAUUCUAAUGAUACAGGGUAUCAUGUUUUGGUCUCAAAUGUAUAUGCUUUAGGGAAGUGGGAUCAAGUGAGAAGAAUUCGGAAAUGCAUGCAAGCUAAAGGACUCACAAAAGAUCCUGGAUUUAGCUGGAUGGAGAUUCAAAAGAAAGUCUGAGGAUAGUCCCUCUUAAAAUUGUAUAGAGGUCAAAACGUUUGUCGGGGCUACUUUUGGGUUUGUUGGGAAAGGAAGAUAUGCUGAUUUGCAACUUCUCCCACCAUGACUUCGGAGAUGGAUGAGAAAAAAGACGUAGAAAAGGGGAGGGCUUGCCAUGGAAGGUAAUGGCUGAUGAAUAACCCUUUGGCUUUGUGGGAAACUUUUGCAUUUCUUUCCUUUUCCAAAUCUUUCUUUUGUAUGUUCAUCGAAUUAGCAAAUCUGAAAACUUCAAAGUACACUUCUCCCUCAUAGGCAACUCAUAUGAACAAACGCUAUUUAAGAAUGAGAUAUUGCAUUUUUAUAUUUUCAUGUUGCUUAAUGUUGAUGGUAUCUUGUUGAAUGCUGUAUAAGCUUUAGGUUCAUCAGUCAUGCUUCUAUGAUAAUAAAGCCUGAUUUACACUUGUCUCUCUCUUGUUUAAUUUACAUAGCAUCAUUAAGUCUGCUUUUUGUCUUACCAUAUGGUGUAGGUCCAAUGUUCGAAGGAGAGGGUUCUGAAUUUAGAGCAGACCCGAAUUCACUGAUCCGAGGUUAGAUUGUUCAUUUCAAGAGAUUUUCAUUUCUUUUUCUUGCUUAUUCAUAGAUUUAGUUGUGUACUUUUAACAACAAAAAAAAACUGACUUGAAGCUCCUUUGUUCUUAAUUCUAACUAAUAAUUAAUUUAACGAUUUUAAUUUAUUGUGUAAAUUAAUUUAUUGUGUAAAUUUUGGCUUAGUACGAUUCAAGAGACUACAAUUUUAAUUGCAAGAUUUGGUAUUUUUUUUUUAUCUGUUGCACAAUGUGUGGCUUCAGUUCUGAAAAUAUUGAGGAUUACUGCUUUCCUUCAAUAAACAGAACUUUGAAAAUUCAUCUUGUUUAUUUAUCAAGUGGCUCUGAUUGCAGAGGCAACACGAGGAUGUGUCGCUCGCAGAUAAUGUGAAAUUCUCAAGAGGAUUUAUGCGAUUCUCGGGUCCAGGCGUCCAUAUGAACAAUCUCUCCAGCUCACUCUACAGAGGCUAACUACUGCAGAACCUGAGAUUGCAGACGCUAAGUGGAAAGCUUCUAAAAAAGUUCAAAAUUUGGCGGUAAUGCCGUUGUUGACCGACAGUCUUGACAGCCACAGUUGAACACUCUGAUAGUAAAACUGAAUUCUUUUCAGCCAUUAGUCAGUUCACUUGGAUGGCUCAGAUUUUACCGUUGUAAAUUCCUUUUUUUUUUCCAAAAAUCUGGCAACUCAACAUUACUAUUUUGGAAAGUUAGAGCUAGAUUCUGAAGGUCGUAGGGUAUAAAACCAGAACCAAGUCUUUGAAGUUCCGCAUUUUGACCCAAUGUCGGGAGAACCUUCCUAUUUGAAUCUGCUCCUUCUACCUUGUCACUCUUUUUCGUGAUCCAAAUUACAAUGUUGCUUGACAAUCGGAACUGUAUUAUCUAAGCUAACCUUUAAUUUUCAACUUAGCAAAAACACUUUUUAUGCAAGGGAACUUAUCAAGUAGCUGAGAGCAUUCAUCUUAGCAACCGUGUUAAUCCGUUCGAUAUCACUUGUUUAAGACGAAUAAAUCUUUUAUUCAAAUUGUUAGUACUAUAAUUAACAAUUCCAUUAAAAAUAAUAUACCAUCAUUAAGAAUUGAAUAUAUUAUGCAAGGAGCAUAUCUCGAGUAGUUAAAAAACAUUUUAUUUUGCAAUCGAGGUCCUUUGUUUGGGUAAUAUCACUUGAAUAAAACCAAUAAAUUUUCAUUCAAAUUGUUAGAAGUCCAUUUGAAAUAUUCCUACCUUCGAUAUUCAAUAGAAGUGCAUUUGACAUAUUCCUACAUCCUAGACUCUUAAGAAUUAAAAAAAUCCUAGCUGCGGAAAAUUUCUCUGCCGCCAGCUCCUGCCUUUGGCUUUAGAGUCGGCGUCAAUCUUCUUAAAAAUCAUUCUUCAUCUCUUCCUUCUCACUUUUUGUUUACUUUAUUUGGUUUUGAAUUGUCACCGUGAAAAUGUUGUAAUCACUGUGAUAAUGACACACGUACAUAGUUCACAUAAGGCUUUGGAUCCAAUUAUCACCUUCGAUAUGGGGUUGAAGCGGGAAGCCAUGAAAGAUGUCGAAUUGCAUUGGGAUCAAGUUUAGUCAGUACAACACUUUGGGUUUAGCUGAUGUAGUGGUAUGCCUUUCGGAUGUCCGAAGGAUGUGGAGUGGCGACAUGAUUUUAUCCUUUUAUUUUGUUUCUGUUUAAUUAUUUCUGGGAAUUGACUUAAGAGUUUGGUUUGAUUUCUCUUUAUAGGAGAGUUUGCUAGUUUGAUUGCUCUCCAUAGGAGAGUGCUUGAUUUUAAGUUUUGUUUUGGUGUGUUACCCUUUGGGAUCCAUGUCUAAAGGGUGGAGCCGUUUGAUUUGUUGGAUCUACUUCAUUUGGUGUUCUGCGAUUGUAAUGGUUAUUAGGUGAUGCGAUGGACUCAUGGGCAUCGUGCUCCCUAUUCCAAUUUUAUGGUUUGAGAUUUUGUUCUCACAUGAUCCUCUUGUAACACGAAGUUUAACGGUUUAUUAAUCUAUGUAAUCAUACAACUCCAUAUGAGCUCGAAAGAGUGCGUGAUGUCUACUCAUUGGGCGAUCAAUAUGCUUUAUUGUACUAUUUUUAGAUCUAGUUUGCAAAGACCCUUUUGGGGCCAAGUUCUUCAUGAUAUGUAUUUGUAAUGCCCUUUUAUCAAUGAAUGAAUACCGUACUCUUAAAAAAAUAAAAAGCAAACAUAACGUCAAAAUGUUCUACAGUCUCCAUGUAAAACCCACCAAUUUUUAUUCGGAAUUGUUCGCAGUUCCCCACAUAAAAUCUUGAGCAAAGCUACCAAAAUCAACAUUACAAAAGCCUGCUAGACAGAUGAUCCCAGACACCAAUAUACAUAUCGUUUUCACAGGAAGGGACAUGAAGCUUUUAGUUCGUCCAAUAUGCUACAAGGAUGUCAACUCAUAUCUCCAAAUACGGCAGCAAAAUGAGCCUAUCGCGCGCUAUGCAUGGGCAUGAGAACCAGAAGCAUGUUCAGUUUCGCAGGAUUGGAGAACCAGAAGUAUAUAUGCUUAUCUGCAAUCUUGAAAUGUCGUGCCUUUUUUAGGAAAUACGUCCCUGGACACACAUGAUGGAGGUACCCCAGCUCCAUGGGUUUGGGCCGGCUGCCAAUCGAUUGUUGGAGGCAUACAAGAUGCUUUUGAAGGUAUCUCAUUUGCCAAUGUUUACAUUUUUUUUCCUAGCACAUUUUAAGGUUUAUCAGCUAAAGUUUGAAUGGCAAUUCGCUCGUUCAUAUACCCACUAAUGUGAGUGAUGGUUUUAUAUGAUAUUAAGACCUCAUGGAGACUUCAUUUUCCACUAAAUCAAUAGGAGUUUCUACCCGUCUAGAAAAUGACAUUUUCUUGUUAUACGUAAUUAUGUAAUUUGUAUCGGUGAAGUAUCUCUGUAGUUAAUCAAUACUUUAAUAUACAACUAAAUUUCUUCUACUAUUGAAUUUCACAAGGACAGGUGUGUUCUUUCAUAUGAGGUAAUGAACAUAGGCACUGUACCUUCAUGUGUGGCUGAUGAUGGGUAGGUAUCUGUGGUGUGUGUUGGAAGGGGUCUGGGUUGAAAUUGUUGAAAGUAGCUUGUACAUGCCACAUUUGGCUUGUUUUUAUAGGGGUUUCAUGGGGAUCUUUUGUCUUUUGAAGUAUCAAACAUUGGGAUCUUGAGCCUUGGCCUUUUGAUCAUCGUUCAUUUGGUUUUACAUGUAAUCUUGAUCUUUGGUUAUUCUUUUGAAGUAUCAAACAUUUUUUUUAUCAACCUUGAUGUGUUAGAUUUAUGCUGACCCGUUUCUUCUCUCCCUUUAUAUUUGUGCCUUGUGUUUGCUGUCCCUAUGCGGAUGCUGUGGUGGUCAAUCCACCCCUUGUUUACAUGGACUUUCCUCGGUUCAAGCAUCCAUAGUGCCCCAUUCACUUAGCAUGGAAAACUAAGUACAAAGCCUGGAAAACUAAAACCAAGUACAAAGCAUGGAAAACUAAGUACAAAAGUAGUUGUUUGCUUGUAGCACAUACUCAGUGCUCAGUGCUCAGUGCUCACUAGUCAAGUUCACCUUUUAUCUGUCUUAAGGGAGAAAAAAGUGAAGGAAAGAAGUGGGGGUGGGGGAGGGGAAUGGGAAAUUUGCUUUUCUUUGUUAUGGGGUAGGAGGGAGGAAAUGGAAGAGAAAAUGAGAAGGGUAGAUAUCCCUUGAGCUGGGAAAGCACUCCUCUAGAGCUCAGUAAAGCAUUAUCCUCUAACAUGGGGAGACUGAAUGUCUAGUUAUUAUGCAAAGGGCAAUAUUUUAGUCCAACCAUUUCUGGAUUUCUUGGCUUCCCUUCGCUUUUCAUCAGACAAGUCAACCAAACAGUAGGAGAGAACCAUAACCAAAUCGUCUGUUGGGAUUCUCUCCUCCCAUUCUCUCUUGCUCCAAACAUGGUAUUACUUCCUCAUUUCCUUUUGUGUGUGUCUGGAUGUGUGCAUGUUGCUGUAGAUGUAAUCGGGUCUGGAGUGAAAUAGGUGUGGUGGGAUUACUUGGGUAUGGUGGAGCAUUGUAGAUCACAUUACUGAACGAUGCCAGAUUUGAACAAGUACUAUUAGUAUGACCGUGAAUCUUGUUACUAGGCCUCUUCUUAUAAUUCUUGCAUUUAUUGCAGUUCCUGGGGAACUUGAGGAAUCUUAGAGACUCAUACGCAGCUCUUGCUGUUGGAUCAUCUGACUCAGUUGCUGGCGAGCCCUCAUCUGUCACAAGAAUAAUCUCAGAGUGUGAAUCUGCUUUGACAUUCCUAAAUCGUGACCUCGGGAUUCUCUCGGCUUCCAUUGCUCGCGAGCAAGGUGAGGAGGUGAGUUUAUGAUGAAAUUGUAGUAGUUGUUUAGGGGAGGGCCAUGAAUGCAGUCUGUUCGCCUUCUUUUUGGACUGCAAAUGUAUGUUGGGAAAAUGUAGUUUUUUCUGUCAAAUGAAAGUGAAGUACAAUGUAGUAUUGAUUCUGUAUUCAUAACACCCACACUGUUUUGUGGGACGAUCUUUAUCCAUGUUCGUUUGGUUUGCAGUCUGACAACAUGAAAGUCAUCGUUGUAAUUAGACCCUUUCUUUUAAGUUCCUAGUCUUUAACCUAUAACAAUGCGAACGACACCUCUAUUUACGGGUGAUUCCCCAAUUCCUCCGUGCUCUCUCUCUCUCUCUCUCUCUCUCUCUCUCUCUCUCUUUCCCCUCGAGCCAAACUGAUAAAUAAGAAAUGAGAGGAAUCAUCCCCAACUGGAACAUUUGACGGAUUGAAUGAAUGAAUGAAUGAAUGAAUGUAUAUUCAAUUCGAAAAGAAUGAAAAAGCAUAUAUAGAUUUCAUUUUUCUCAAAAAAAAGAAGAAAAAAGUACAUAGAUUUCAUGGCCAAAAUGAGGCUUGGGAUCAGGCCUAACUUGAACAAUAAUCAGGCCCAAAAUAAGGCUGGUGCUUUCCAUUGAGGGGGGAAAGUAUAAUUGUGGUUUAUUUGGGACUUCCAAUGAUUAUAGUUAUGGUUUGAGUAAAUUAUAGCAAUGGUCCUUUAAUUUUAACCUAAUUAGAGCAAUGGUAUCUCAACUAAAAAUCUAUUACCAUUGGUUCUUCAACUCAUCAAAACGUUCAGUUAUGGUUAUUUUUGUCAACUUUGUUAUAACUUCCGUCGAAAUAAGUUACGUGUCAUGCAUGUGAGGCUAAAUCAAGGGACAAAUAUGGAAAAUCAAAUAAGAAAAAUUGUAUCAAAGGUCCCUCAACUUUAAUUCAACUAGAGAAAUGGUCCCUCAACUUUAAUCCAAUUGUAGUAAUGGUCAUUCUAACAUAACUCAUUUUGAUAGAAUUAUGAUGAAGACCAUAGCUACAUGUUUUGAUGAGUUGAGGGACCAAUGAUAAUGAAUUUUUAGUUGAUGGACCAUUGUUCCAGUUUGAUUAAAGUUGAGGGAUAUUUGCUACACUUUACUCUUCUGGUUUAGAUUUUGUUUUUCUUGAUAUGGAAAUAUUCAAAUAACCACAAAUAUAUAGGGGGAAUGUUUAGAAGUGCUUUGAAAAUAACUAAAAGCUCUUUCCGAACAUCGAAAAUCUUUCUGAUCAUGUUUGGGGUAAAAAGUUAAAAAGUGCUUUUAGGUUAAAAAAACACUUGCAUUUUUAUUUAAAAUUUCUAUGUAAAAUCUAAUAUAAGCGCUUUUACUGGAAGUUCUUUUGAUUAAAAAAAUGGUUUAGAUGCAAUUCCAAAUGAGCCCCUAGUUUUUAGGGAAAAUGCUAGGGACCCACAUUUUUGUACCACAUUGUUGUACUAUCUAAUGUGGUAAGUGAUUUAUACAUGUCUUGUCAUUUAAUGAGUUUAGGCCUUUUAGCCAAAAUGGUCACUGAGAUUGACAUAACUCAUCACUUUGGUUCCUAAAAUUUAAAAUUGAUUGAUUUUUGUCCCUUAGAUUGUCCACAGUAAAUCAUUUUUGUCAUUUUAGUAAAAAAAAAAUUCGUUAAAUUGAGUGUACUUUUGUCAAAUCAACCCUUCUACUUGAACUGGGGGUUUCUACAAUUUAACAAAGAUUUUUUCAUAGAAGAACCAAAAUAAUUGACGGUAGACAAUCUUAAUGAUCACUUGUAUCAAUUUUAAAUCUUAGUGACUAAAAUGAGGAGUUAUGACAAUCUCAGGGCUAUUUUGGCUAAAAAGCCAUGAUUUAUCUCACGUGUAAUACUUGGGAGCCCAUAUGCAACAACAUCCAAAGUGAUGAAUUAAUUGACGUUGCAUGUACACAUCACUUGUCAUAUGAGAUGAUACAUCAAUGUGGUAUAUUUAUGUGAUCUCAUAGCAUUACUCAGUUCCUAGAUAUUUAUUGGAUGCCAACAAAAGUUCCUUAUUGUUUACGUAGUUAUGGAAGACUUUUCUGCUUUUCUAUUGAUUUCAUUUGAAAUGAUUGAACUAUUUUCUUGUUAAUUAUUGGAUACGUUAUUAAAUUUUUUACAUAUUAUAAUAAUUAUUUAAUACAAUCACCAUUUGAAGUAAUGUAUCAAAUCUCUAUUUUUACAAUAAUGUAGUCAAAGUUUCACGUGAAUUCGGAAACAAUAGUUCAUUAACUUCUAUUUAAAAGAAAAAAUAAACUAUGUUAAGUGAUGAUGGAGGUAGAUACAAGCUAGAUGGAAGUUGAAAAGAACUAGUGAUUGAAAAAGAAAGUUAGACACAAACAAAUCCAUCAACAUCUGAUAUAUAAAGAACUGAUUAACAAGUAAACAAAUGAAUCAAAAGGAACACAAAGUCAAUAUGAAAAUGAUAGAACUGAAAAUUCAAACUAGUAAAAUAUUAGUAACAUUCUCUAAUCAUAACAAUAGUUUUAUUAAUUAAGGCCCAAGUGAGAUUGUGGUCUCAUCACAAAAUGAAAAUCUAAACAAAUGGUCCUACAUUGCAAUGACAAAGACAUUCUCUAAAUCAUGAUGAUACUUUAAUAUUGUUGAAAGACUAUAAACAAAUUUCCAAGUCAAAACUAGUGAAAUUUCCAAGAAAUCUUUUGUAUAUGUUGAAGACUUGAAACUUCCAAUCAUAUAGAGGUUAAUAAAGAAAUCCAAAAAAGAAAAAAACCAUCAAAAUAUAUGUAGUUUUAGUUUAUUCAUUAACUUCUACAAGUUAAGUACUCAACUUAAUUCUCCUUGGGUUAUAUAUAUAGAUGGUGCUCAAGCGAUAAUUGUUUAGUAAGUUACUUUGGCUCGAAUAACUCAUUUGCAUCCACUUUACUAUUUAAUUUCAUUAUUUGAAUCGUUCAUUUUGUUUAAAGUUUUCAUACAAAGGUUGUCACAUCCUGGCCCGGGCCCCCACCACAUCCCAGGCUCGACUUUGCCGUAGCACGAUAUUGUCCUCUUUGGGCCCCGACUAAACUCCGAAACAAAAAAAGUGUUGUCGAAAAUUAUCAAAAUGUUCAAGGCAAUGAUCAAGGAUGACCGUGGAUGAACACCUAAAAAUGAAGAGUUCAUAUAAAUAGCUUAAAAUUUUUGAACUCUAAACACUAAGUUGUUUGAUUAUAAUCAACAUUUACGUUUACGUGGAACAUUGUAUUUGUCUAUUUAGUUUAUCGUAAUCAGAAACAUAAAUACUUUCGAGCUUAUCAUUUACUUAUUUUAUUUUUUCGAACAAAUGAUAUUAUCUGCACUAAGGGGGGAAAGGGUGAGCUUAGCUUCACAAUAGGCUAGCAAUAAUGUGGUUCAAACUCAACUUUGGCGAGAAUUGAACUCAAGACCUCUCACUUACAAGUGAAGAGGAAUACCACCAAAUCGUAGUACUAAAUGACAUCAUUUACUUUUAAUAUUAGAACAAUCUUGAUUUGCACUUAAUGAAUUUACGAUACUUUAUAAAAUUAAUGGUAGAACAGUUUCUAUUUUAGAUUUUGUUUUCAUUGAUAUGGAGAUUUCCAUAUAACAACUAUGCUUUUCACAUUAUUGUGAGAAUUUUUCUGUUGAUUUCAUAGGAAGUAAUUGUACACUUUUUAUUUUUUUAUUUUUUUUUAUUGGAUAAGUUAUUAAACUUUUUUUAUAUAAUAAUUCUAAUUCAUUUUUCUAUCAUGCCUCACAAUAAUGUGGUCAAAGUUUCACAUAAAUUUGGGAACAGUAAUUAAUUAAGUUCAUGUUUGAAAGAGAAGAAAACUAUGUUAAGGGAUGAUGGAUGAUGGAUGAUGGAUGUAGAUACUAGCUAGAUCGAAGUAAGAAAAGAACUAAUGACUGAAAAAAUAAAGUUAGACACAAACAAACCCAUCAACAUCUGAUAGAUACAUAAUUGAUUAGCAAGUAAAUGAAUGAAAUUAAAAGGAGCACCAAAGUCAAACUGAAAAUGAUAGAACUGAAAAUCAAAGUAGUAAAAUAAUACUAACCUUCUCUAAUCAUAACAAUAGUUUUAUUAAUUAAGGCCCAAGUGAGAUUGUGGUCUCAUCACAAAAUGAAAAUCUAAACAAAUGGUCCUACAUUGCAAUGACAAAGACAUUCUCUAAAUCAUGAUGAUACUUUAAUAUUGAAAGACCAUAAACAAUUCCAAGUCAAGAUUAGUGAAAUUUCCAAGAAAUCUUUUGUAUUUAUUAAAGACUUGAAACUUUCAAUCAUACGGAGGUCAACAAAGAAUCCAAAAAGAAAAAACCAUCAAAGUAUAUGUAGUUUUAGUUUAAGGAAAACUAAUAAAAAUGGUUUGAAAACUUUGAGUUUUAAUUAUAAGGACAAAAUAAAGGGUAAAGUGAAUAGUACCAUGAUUGACUUUUUAGUGUAAAAAUAUGGUUUUUCGUUAAAGUGAACAGUACCGGGUGCUUUUCGUUAAAGUUCCCUUUAGUUUAUUCAUUAACUUCUACAAGCUAAGUACUAAAAUUAAUUCUCCUUGGGUUAUAUAUAUAGGGUGCUCAAGCGGUAACUAUAUAGUAAGUGACUCCAGCAUGAAUAACUCAUUUGCGUCCACUUUACUAUUUAGUUUCAUUAUUUGAAUCGUUCAUUUUGUUUAAAAUUUUCAUACAAAGGUCAUCUCCUAAAAAAAUCAAUCAAAUUGUAGAUCGUUUAAAUAGUAAACUGUGAAACAAAAAAGAAACAAAAAAAGUGUUGUUGAAAACAAUCAAAAUGUUCAAGGCAAUAAUCAAGGAUGACCGUGGAUGAACACUUAAAAAUGAAGCGUUAAUAUAAAUAGCUUAAAAAAGUUUGAACCCUAAACACUAAAUUGUUUGAUUAUAAUCAACAUUUGUGUUUUCGUGAAACAUUGUAUUUGUCUAUUUAGUUGACCAUAAUCAGAUGCAUAAAUACUUUCGAGCUUAUCAUUUUUUUUUUUGAAUAAACGAUAUUAUCUACACUAAGCGGGAGUGGGUGAGCUUAGCCUCAUAAUGGGCUUUUAAUAAUGUGGUUCAAACUCACCUUUGGCGAGAAUUGAACCUAAGACCUCUCAAUUACAAGUGAAGAGGAAUACCACUAGAUUGUAGUACUAAGUGGCAUCAUUUACUUAUUUAAUACUAGAACAAUCUUGAUUUGCACUUAAUGAAUUUACGAUACUUUGUAAAUUUAAUACUAGAACAAUUUCUAUUUUAGAUUUUGUUUUCAUUCAUAUGGAGAUUUCCAUAUAACGACUAUGCUUUUCACAUUAUUGUGAGACCUUUUCUAUUGAUUUAAGGGGCUUUUGGAUCUAGGUCCAAAAACAUAGGUAGUUUUUUGGACUGAGUCCAGUUAUCCAAUUACAUAUUGAUAUCAAUUUUAACCAUUCAGAUAAAAAUAUUUAAUUUCUUUAAAUUUCUUUAUCAUUUAUUCAGUUUUUAAAUUUUGAAUAUUUAAAUACUCAAACUAAAAUAUUAUCUAAUAAGUACCUACUAUUUAUGAAGAAAACAAAACUGAUAUAAUCUAGUAACUACCUAUUGUGUAGGAAGAAAGAUGCUUUAUACCUACAAAGCAGAUAUAAUCUACCUGCAAAACAAAAAUAAACUACCUAUUGUAUCGGAAGAAAAAUUCUGGGAACCUACUUGGCGGAACAUAGAAAUAUAAAUAUGAUAUAAUAUACCUCCAUUAAAGGAACGAAUUUGGAGGGAAAACAUAAAAAUAUCACCCAUGAAAAGAAGAGACAAAAAAGAGGAGGAUUGAUUCCAUGAUCUAACGGAGGGAAUUGUGUGGAAGAAGGAAAGAAAGAGGGAUGAAACGGACUGGGGGUUGAGGUAAUUAUAUGGCUAUAACUAAUCCUACAAUUAAGGGAUUAGUUAAACCACAAAUAAUCCCAUAAUUAAGAAUUUUUUGUGUAUUUACUACAAUUUGUAAGCCUAAGGGGUAAAUAUGGUACAAACCACAAAUAAGCAUACGUGGAAUCUCAAUUAUUGGACCUAUUUCAAUGAAGUGGACUAAUCCUACUAAUGACUCACAAAAUUGGAUCUGUAUCAAGUUAUCCCUUGAUUUAAUAGGAAGUAAUUGUACUUUUUUUUUUUUUUUUUUUUGUUAUCGGAUAAGUUAUUAAUUUUUUUAUAUAAUAAUUCUAAUUCAAUUUUCUAUUAUGCCUCACAAUAAUGUGGUCAAAGUUUCACAUAAAUUUGGGAAACAAUAAUUAAUUAUGUUUGAAAGAGAAGAAAACUAUGUUAAGGGAUGAUGGAUGUAGAUACUAGCUAGAUCAAAGAAAAAAAGAACUAAUGAUUGAAAAAGAAAGUUAGACAAAAACAAGCCCAUCAACAUCUGAUAUAUAUAGAACUGAUUAACAAGUAAAUGGAUGAAAUUAAAAGAAGCACCAAGUCAAUUUGAAAAUGAUAGGAUUGAAAAUCAAAGUAGUAAAGUAAUAGUAAAGUAAUACUAACCUAUCUAAUCAUAACAAUAGUUUUAUUAAUUAAAUCUAAGUGUGAUUGUGGUCUCAUUACAAAAUAAAAAUCUAAACAAAUGAUCCUACACUGCAAUGGCAAAGACAUUCUCUAAAUCAUGAUUACUUUAAUAUUGUUGAAAGACCAAAAACAAAUGUCCAAGUCAAGAUUAGUAAAAUUUCCAAGAAAUCUUUUGUAUUUGUUGAAGACUUGAACUUCCAAUCAUACAUAGGUCGAUAAAGAAAUCCAAAAAGAAAAAACCAUCAAAGUACAUGUAGUUUUAGUUUAUUCAUUAAACAAGUUAAGUACUCAAAUUAAUUGUCCUUGGGUUAUAUAUAUAUAUAUAUAUAUAUAUAUAUAUAUAUAUAGUGUCACAGCCCGUCCCGGAAUUUUAAUUCCGAGGACAUGAAAAGAUGAAAAUGCCCUUAAACGGGACUAAGGGGCGAAAAUUUAACAAUUUGGAUUGAGUUGGACACGUGGGAUCCCCACAUCCCUCAAAACCUUCCCCAAUUCCCGUACCUUGUCUCUCUAUCUCUCUUCCCUCACGACUCUCUCUCACUCUCAGUUCUCUCUCUUCCUCUCCGACGCUCAACCUCACCCAAAACCACCUAAAACAUAAACAAACGUCCAAGAUAAGACCACAUUUGGAUUCCUGGAACUUCCACGAUCACGUAGACAUCAAUUUCAGGUAAGUUUUGCUUCGAAAAACCCUAGUUUCAAAGUUCCCGUGAAAUGGUACUGUUCAUGAUCUUCUAAAUGACUACGUUUUAGGCUAAAACAAGAUCACAGCGGGCUUAGUGAGGUCCCAAGGAAGCUCGGAGUGCUUCGUUGGAAGUUUUUGGACGUAAGAACACGGAGAUUGACAAGUUCAAAGUUUGGCCGGAGCUUUCGAGGAAUUUUCCGGCGAAUCCCCGGCGAGUUAGGAGUCGAGGUAGGUAUCAAUCUCUUCGUCUCUUCAAGGGCUACAACUUUCGUUUUUGAAUCACUUGAUUUCGUUGAGAAAUGACAAAGUUAUGGCAAUUUGAAAAACUGCCCGGAAAACGGCCGCCGGAAAAACCAGUCCGGCGACCCAAGGAAGAAGAAGGUGCUACAGUAAAAAUAAAAAAUAAAAAUAAAAUUAUUUUAAAAAUAUGUCGACGUCUGUGACGUCGAGUAGAUCACUGUGGUAUAUUCAUAUACCUAAAUUGAACACCGUAUGAGAAAGUUAUUGAGGAUUGUUGGUUAGGUGUUCAAAUAACGUUUUAUAAUUUUCACAUUUAGGUGAAAAUGUGAAUUGACGAUCCGACCGUUGGAUCGUCACCAAACUUUGAUACGUUGCAAUACGUAAUAUUUGAGGAUUAUUGGAACUUACAGAUUGGGAAUCCGAUUUGCGGAUCUUCCGGAAUUGGAAUUGUAAGUCCAUAAUAUAAAAUGUUAACCGUCACUUAGUUUUGGAAAUUGACGGAGAUCCGACCGUUGGAUGGUAAUGAAAUUUUAGGAUGUUGUCCUAGAGGUAUAAUGUGGACCUCUGGAAGUUAUGGAUUUAAAAUCUGAGGGGUGGAUCUUCCGGAUCAAUCUACGUAGUGACGUAUUUUAUAUAAGUUAUAUAUUUUAUCAAUAUGAAUUCUGAGGUUGGAAUUGAUUAUUGUUUUAGGCGCCGAUCGUCAUGACGCCUUGGCGUAUUGUGCUAGGGAGUUGUAGGGCAAACUCCAGGUGAGUGGGCAGUUUUGUUUUCCGUAUAUAUAUAUAUACUUGACGUUUCCCAGAAAUUGAAUUGAAAUGAAAAUAUGUUUAAAAUGAAAUGCAUAUGAGUUAUGUGGAAAAACGGGAAGUGAAAUACCAUGCAUAGAAUUGAUAUGAAAAGUAUAUAGAAAUGUGAGUUGAAAUGCCAUGCAUGAAUUAAUAUAUGAUGCAUAUGUAUGAAUUGGUGCGGUGGACGCACAAGUAAGAAUUGAUUUAUGAUGCAUAUGUAUGAAAUGGUGCGGUGGACGCACAGGUGAGUAUUUAAUUACUGUUAUGAUGAUGAUGAUAUAUAUUGAGCUCAAAUCCUGCACCAUGGUUUAGUGCUUAUAGUAUUCACCGUAUCGCACGCUCGCCUUGGAUCCAAGUAGAUGCUAGUCGUACAGUCCACGCGGAGUGGGUACGACAGACCAGUCGCGAGAGUGUUAGUGAGAUUCCGACUGGUGGGUGACCUUAGAUUAUGUGCACAGAUGAUUUAUGAGAAGCACUAGAGCGUAACUUGCGUGCAGAAGGCCGGACGGGUCACAGAGGUGACUCCGGUAGAGUGAUAAUGAUAGAUUUUGAGCUUUAGGUUCAACCGUACAGGGUUAUUAGAGGGCCUACGGUUGAUUACUUUCUUGCACCUGAUAUGAUUAUGUUGAUGCAUUCAUACCUUAUUAAUGUUGAGAUGAUGUGGCAUGGCAUAAUUAAUAUGAGAAAUGUUGAGAUGAUGUGGCAUGGCAUAACUGAUAUGAAAAAUGUUGAAAAAGUGAAAUGAAGUAUUGAGAAUAUAUAUGUAUAUUUAUAUUUUACAUUUCUGGGAAAGUAUACAGGUUUUACGGAGAGGGGUUACAACGUUUUGAGAAAUGUUUGGAUUUGGAAAAGAAUUGUUUUACUGACCCACUCAAUUUUGGUUUUGCGCCCCUCCAGGUUCAGGAAUCACAAAGGUGUGGUGACUACGAGGAAUACAGCGGGGUUCUGACAGAUUGGACAAAAUUAGGACUCACCUUCGGGUGUAUCAACUUAUAAAUUGUAUAAUUAAAGCUUCCGUACUGUGCAAAUGGUUACGUCACUCUCACGUGACGGCCAGCAUGCCCUCCUUCGGGACGGGGUGUGUCAUGUAGGGUGCUCAAGCGGUAACUAUUUAGUAAGUCACUUCGGCACGAAUAACUCAUUUGCAUCUACUUAAUUUCAUUAUUUGAAUCAUUCAUUUUGUUUAAAGUUUUCAUACAAAGGCCAUCGCCUAAAAAAUUCAAUCAAAUUGGUGAUCGUUUAAAUAUCUAAAUUGUGAAACAAAAAAAGUGUUGUCGAAAACAAUCAAAAUGUUCAAGGCAAUAAUUAAGGAUGCCUGUGGAUGAACACCUAAAAAUGAGACAAGAUCUUUUCCACAAUCAGUGAAGAGGCUAGGAGAGAGUAACCACUUCCAGUUGAUAUGCUCAGCGAGAAUACGCAUUGCCCAAUUGAUUAAUUUCAGCUGACACGUCUUGAUGUCCUCUAGUUCGUUGUUAAACUGUGGAUUGGGAAAAAGGAUAGCCCUAACUAUAAUUCCUUCUAUGCCUCCUUCCCAAUCUCCAUCGACUAACAUAAUGUCCUUAAACCAAUCCCUAUUUUGCCAAAGGACAUCUAAGAUGCACGACUCCCAGAUGAGGCUGGGCCUGGCUGUAAAGUAGCAGUGGUUGUCAAAACUUUUCCUGAUGUUACGCAACACUUUGAAUUCUUGAAUACCUAGAACGGCUCCAUACCAGUGAUUUAGCAACUCGAAAUAGGUAAUAGGUCUAAAGGCUGCUGAAGAAAUUGUAGAUAGCCAUAUGGUAGCAUAUUAGAAUGCCCUUUAAGAGAUUAGGAAAAAGGAAGUGCAAGCCUAAAUCCAAGAAGGAAGGAUAAAUCCUAGUACAUGUGGGAAGUUCGGGUAGAUGACUUGGCCAGGUUUCCACCAGACUUUACACUAACAUAAGAGGUUCAGAUGGUCCUUGAAGGAGGUUUUGCCUUCCUUUCUACUAUAAAUCGUCGUCAAUGAAAGGUUGUAGGGUGAGAUUUUAGGCCAUUUGGAGGUUUUGCUUGAAGACACCACUGAUGAAAGACGAAAGGAUUUGGAGAAUUUUUUAAUUAAUAUGUGAAGAAAGUUGGAGCCUGUUUUCAAUGAGUGAUUUGAGGGUUCAAGUGAAACGAAAGGAAAAGAUCUGAUCUUCUAUACGCGUCACUGAUGAGAUGAAAGUUAAGCACUCAAAUUAAACCCUCUUGUUGUCAAAUUGUAGUAUAAAUGCAAGUAGAGAUCGUUCUAAACCGGGGAUUAGGAGGGCUUACUAAAACCUCUAAACUGACUCAAAAACAUAAAAACAAAAUUAAAAACAUUUGAAUAGACUCAAGGGACUCAAAACAGAUUCUAAAGAUUCAAAACAACUUAAAAACACUCAAAACUGCCUAAAAACACAAACUGGGCAAAUUUGGACUCUAAAACAACUUUGGACGAAUUUAGUGUUUUGGCUUGAAUCAAAACACUCAAAAACACAAACAAAACAGAAAUUUAACACUUUGAAACAAGAAAGUAAAAAGGGGAUUUUGGUUUGGAUGAAUUUUAAAUAAACAAGCAAGUUAUAAAACUAGGCAGAUUAUAAAAUGAAUUUGAGAAAUAAAAUGAUGGAUGGAUUAGUUAGAGGUCCGUUCUUCACACAUGACACACUUGUACAUGAAUUGAUUUCCAAUUGCUUUUCAAUAAACUAUGAUACUCAACACCCCAGAUUAACCGUGAUGCACAAAUUAACCCUCAUAUUUUCCUUUACUCAUUGAAUUGGAUGAAUGCAUGCGACAACCCAAAUCAUUCUCUAAAAGUCCCCUAUAUGAAUGCAUAAUAGAGAUACAAUCAGAGAUCAUUACGUUCAAUGAAAAUCAUAAGUGUUGACGAGACAAUUAUAACUAUGAAUGCAUGAUACAAUUGCCAAGAAUUCAAUUAACGCGAUUGUGAUAAACAACCUUCACUACUCAUGAAUAUAAACUUGUAACGAUUAGGUGAAACUCAUUUAUAUUCUAGCAUCUAAUUCAUGCAUGAAAAUUAAGUAUGCAUCCUUAAUAAACAUACAAGAAUCAGUUAUGAAUAAAAUAGAUAAUUGAAUUGCAAUCACAACUUAUCAAAUCACAAUUGGAAGAAAUCAAUUCAUAUCUCAAGCAUGUUCAUGGCUUCAAACUUCCCCCUAACUAAAUGGGGGUUUAGCCACUCAUAAUUGCAACAAAAUCAAAAAAUGAAUUUAACAUUGGAAACAUAAAUGAAUAUAUAUAUUUUUGGAUGAAGGUUGUAUUGAAAUGGGAGUGAAUGAUCUAAAAAUAUAUAUAUUCAUUUAUGUUACACACACUUCCUUUUAUAGAGAAAAUGCAAGGCAAAACAUGGGUAAAAUGGAGUAGUGUUGAAAUGAUUCAAAGGUGAAAGUGGAGUAAUGAUGCAAAGCAUGGGUAAAAUGGAAUGGUGUUGAAAUGAUUCAAAGUAAUGUGCAUGAAAUCUGAAAUGAUGGAGGGAACAAGGAAUGGUGUAGCAAUUAAGUGCAAAGAGGGAACAUGGAUGAUGAUAAGGUAAUCUUGACUCAUGUUUCUUCUUUGGUUGCUGAGCUCUUUGUCAUUUUUACAUUAAUUCUUCUUUCUUUUUAACACAUUCCAAGCCUCUUUAGUCUUCAAUUUCGUCCAUCCACCUUGCUCCAUGCAUGUGCUAUCCAUUCCAAGCCCAAAACUGCUCCAAAAUGCACCAAAAUGCACCUUAUUGCUUUAUAAGGCCUAUGGACCUACAAACACACGAAAAUAGCUUAAAAUACAUAAUUAACUAAGAAAUAACAACAUAAAUGCAUGAGAACAAGCUAACUCAAUCGCAUAAAUAUGCUUCUAUCAGUCACACAAUGGAACAAUCUAGCCAUUGAAUACGAACUGACUCACUUUGGGAUCAACGAAUUUGAUAGUUAAAAUUAGUGAAGAAUAUCGAAGGCAAUUUCUUGUUUUUUCGUGCACACACAACAGACGCAAAGUUUCAUCAUCACAAACUUUAUAGCAUGGAACUCGACACUGCAUGUUUGAAUCCGAGACAUCUCCAUCACAUCACAAAGAAUAAGAUCAUCAUACUAAGUUAAAAGACCUAAACAUACGUAUUUCAGCUUACUCCGAAGGGCAUCGUCUUUGGAUAACAAUCAAUCCUUAAGGGGAACAGGUUGCCCUUAAGAUGCAUAGUUAAGGGCAAUUGUGUGACCAUGAUUUUCCAGGGUCGAAGCAGGGCCGAUCUGAAUAUUGAUACCUCAGAGUCUGGUUAUAGACUUACCAGCUCCGAGCGGAGUUAGAUCAGACGGAGUAGCAGUGCCCCUAUCACCCUGCUCCAGGGCAAUAGGUAAAGUCCGAGCGACUCUAUUGGAUGACCAUGCUUGUUUCGCAAGAUACGUGAUUGAUCCAUAUAUGGACUUAAUCUGAUCCUUCAUAAGUCUUAAAGUUUCUACAAUCUAGGAAUUGACGUGCACCGCAAGUAAUCAUAACUCCUAAGAGGGUGCAAUAUCUGCUUCUAGAUAUCUUCUAGGAUUCUCUGGGCUUAGAACAAGGAUUCUAUCCUAAAAAUGUCUUUUCCUACAAUAUAAAUACACCCAUCUAGAGUUCGUCUCUGGUAACGCAAACUUUGUACUUUAAUUAUCUUACCCACUACUUGAGUCUUAAACUCUUUACUAACUUGACCGACCGCUUUUGGCUAGCACACCACCCCAGAUCUUAGGCUUGCUCAUAAUUAUUCUCUGUUUUGCAAGUAGCUUGAGUUUGUGCCUUCACCAUCUGCGGCGGUGCGCAAAUUUGGUUCUAACAGCUCUAAAGCAUUGCCUCCUACUGGACUUCAUCUAGUUUUGAUUAGAGAAUGGCACAAUAUACAUCCCAGAAGUUGCACUCCAUUGCGAGUGUGCACUCAUCAUCAUCUAUUUUGUCAAAAUUGUAUAGACUUAACCUCAAGGCGGACUACUUAGGUACCCAAAUUGUUUGCCUUUCUUUCAUCGCAACUCAUACAUUCUGACAGUUCAUCUCUCUCAGCCAUGACUUUCUCCAAAUCUGCUGUCUUUUUUUUGCAACUGUCUUUCCAACUGGAUUCGACGGCCCAGCUCGGCUUUGUAGGCCAUUUCAACCUUGAGAAUUUUGCUUGUUUGGCUCUUGAGAGUAACUUUUAUCAGUGUGUUCGCCUGGGCAAAACAAAUUAGGAGUAAGUCGAGUAGGGGAGUAAGUCAAGUAGAUGAGUAAGUAGAAGAAUUAGAGUUUUAGGUAAAGAUGGAUGAAUUUACCACGUAAUGACUUUGAUAGUAGUUUUUGACCAUUUAAUCAGGCGCAAAGACAACUUCUUCAUAAAAAAAAGGCACAAUGGCCGAACGAACCAAAGCAUGGGCGUGUUUCUCGUCAUGGAGUCUGCUAGCAUGAAAGGUAGAGUCUUGCGACAAAAAAACAGGCUUUAAUAUCAGGGUUGGUUGUCAACGUUGGAAGAAUGUGAUGCCUUACAAGAGCGAAUGCAGGUCAGCAAGCCUAACUGUAGCUGCUUCUACGUCGGGCUAGGAGGAGCAUAACGAUCACCAAGUGUUUAUAGGACCAGAAGGAUGACAAGUUCAUCCAUUUGUUGUUGUUAUUGUUGCUGCUCUAGUUUGUUAUUGUUGUUGUGGCGCCAUGCCAGUUAGUGGAAGUGUUUGUACAAUGGAGGCAUUAGUAAGAUUCUCAUUUUUGAGCAAUUCUACCACCACUUUGUCCUUAGCUGUUGAAGUUUACUGGUGUUCAGAGGUAAGUAACCCCAAUUCAAAAUCUUGGAUCACCAACACUUUACUGAUGGAGGAAUGCUAGGGUUUUCAGAUUCGUUUGAUUUCUUUUUAGGAGGUUUACUGUUAGAUGAUUUCUUUGCGAAAUUCUUACGACGUUUCAUUUUCUUCUUUUAUGAUCUUGGGGUUUUUGGGACUUUCAUCAAUCCUUCCUAUCCUUAGCCUUCAUGCAUUGACCUAGUAUAAAUUCUCAAUGGGAUGCUUGGUGCACAAAUCGAUAAUAGCGUCUUUCCCAUGCUCUUUAACUCUUUAUGGGGCAAUGAGCCAUUUCCAAUUCCGAUGCUCGAAGAGAAUGAUGUUGAAUGCCCUGUCAAUUAGCCGUGGACGACACUGAUCGAUGUUUGUGAUAUCAUUGUUGCAGUCAAGGCUAGUGGAAUGAGUGUUUCAAAUUCUGGUUCCAAUGAUAUCCAUUUCCCAGUUUUUGUUUACAAUAAGAAUGUCUUUAUACUAGUCUUUAUCAUGGCGGGGAAGAUCUGGCAGCCCUUCUGACACUGGGUCUCGAUUGAAAAAAGUAAUAUAGGUCAGAGUUCCUGCAAAUAGUACGAAGCAUAUGAAAUUCCUGGAUACCUAAGCCUACUCCAUACCAGUCAUUCAGGAGCUCGAAGCAUGUGAGGACGUGGAACAAUGCAUGAGUCAAAUUGCAAACAGCAACGUUGAAGCUACUUAAUACUUGUUUUAAGAAAAGAGAAAAAAAGAGCUUUAUAAAUAGGUCUAGUUACCAUGGGUGAUUUUGGUACAUGGAUGGUUGGGGUCGGAAGGUUUUGGAUAAAGAAUUUUAAACAUUAUGCAUGCGCUUCUAUUUGGCAGAACAAUCGUUCAGGAAAUGAUGAUGAAGACUAACAAUACCUUUUGCUUCUUCUUCACUUUAUACUUUCACCAUGAGAGGUUCAAAAUGAGAAUCAUAGUUAGUAGCAAGAUGAUGAAGCACAUUUGAAGGUGCAAUCAUUGACUUGGAUAAAAAUAUACGAGGAGAUCAAGUAAAAAAGAUGAGAGAAUGGUAGAUAUUUCAGACUUGAUUUGUAAGAAUGUAAGACCUUUAAAAAAAAGGGCAUUUAUGUGAAAACUAAGGAAAAGGUCUUGAGGGUAUUUAAGGAAGAUAUCUUUGAAUUGCCUAACCGUUGAAUAUGGAUCGUCAUUAGUAGAUUCGACGGUUGAAUUUAUCUAGAGAAAAUAGCAAACAGUGCUUUAUUUUCUACGCACACGUUGUUGCCACUAUCCUUAUCAUUGCGAUAUUAAAGGUACAAUUUAUGAGAUGGUGAACUCAGAUAAGGAGUGAUUUGAUGUCCAAAUGGAUAUCGAGAAACGAUGCUGAGACACCAUGUAUCUGAAGCAAGAAAACUAUAUGUAUUCUGACUUACUCCAAAAUGCAUCGUCUCUAGGUAACUACCCAUCCUUAAGGGGAACAAAUCUUUCCAAUGCCUAGUUUGGGGUAGUUGUAGAACCAUGAUUUUUCAAGGCCAAAGUAAUGCUGAUCAAAAUACGCCUACUUUAGAAGUCCGAUCAUGGACUCAAUAAGAUCCAUUGCGGAGCUGAUUAAACAGAUCAGUGAUGCCAUAAUCAUCCUGUUUCAAAAUCAGUGGCAAAAUCCAUCGACUUCGCUGAGAUAGACCAUUCUUGUUUCGUAAGAUUCGGGAACCCAAUCCAGUAAGGAAUCAUUAGGUUUCUUCUUGGAGUCCUUAAAAUAUAAGGAUUGGCGUGUGCCACAAAUAAUCACACUCCUAAGAGGAAGCAAUAUCUAGUUCCAAAAUAUCCUCAUGGAUUCUACUGGUUUAAUUAGGAUUCUACAAUCCUAAAAGGUCUUUUCCUCGACUAGUAUAAAUACAUUGCUAGGGUUCAUCUCUAGUAAACUGAUUUUGCAAGUAAUUGCCACUAUCCUUAUCAUUGCGAUAUUAAGGGUACAAUUUAUGAGACGGUGCACUUAGAUAAGGAGCGAUUUGAUGUCCAAAUGGAUAACAAGAAACGAUGUUGAGACACCAUGUGUCUGAAGUAAGAAAACUAGACGUAUUCCGACUUACUCCAAAAUGCAUCGUCUCCAGGUAACUACCCAUCCUUAAGGGGAACAAAUCUUUCCAAUGCCUAGUUUGGGGUAGUUGCGGAACCAUGAUUUUUCAAGGCCGGAGUAAUGCUGAUCAGAAUACGCCUACUUUAGAAGUCCGAUCAUGGACUCAAUAAGAUCCAUUACGGAGCUGAUUAAACGGAUCAGUGAUGCCACAAUCAUCUUGUUUCAAAAUCAGUUUUCUACAAUCCUGAACCCUAUUUUGCCAGUAAACUGAUUCUGGCAUCUCCACUACUCACAACGGUACGCGAAUUUGGUUAUAACAACAAAUAUGUCUGCAGAAGAAAGCUUUGUUAACACUAACGAUAACAUGACAGCAUGAGAUAACCCAUUCCCUGAUGCCUCCACCGCUCUCGUAGGGAAUAACCUAAUCUCCAAUGUCUUCACCACUCCUGGAACGAGCAACUAAGCCCCUGAUGCUAUGACCAUCCUAGCGAAUAGUAACGCUCUAAUCACUGGACAUCCUCUCACCAUGGAAUAGAUUUGGGGGACUCAGUUGAAGAUCAAUGCUUUUGGUGAUAAAUUUCAAAGAGCCUACAUGGCUUCUCGAGCAAAGAAUCAUGCAAUGUUCGUGGGCGUUGAGAGACAAAUGAAAUCUCUAGAAAACUCCAGCAAGGCUAGUCCACAAACACAGAUUCCUAUUUUCAACUAUGUAAUAUUAGUACCAUAACUCCAGAAGGGCAACCCAUUACACCAAUUUCUACCCCAAUCCCAACGAAAAUUGCUAAUUCGGGUACAAGCUUCCCUCACAAUGGACAUAUUGUUAACAACGCAUUUGCAUGUGGGAAACUGUGAAGUCUAGAUUUAGUUAUUUGGCUUUCCUUGUUAAAAGUUGUCAAUGAUACCACAUGCUCUUAGACUGUUUUUUGUUUGUACAACUUCAGUAUAGGUUCAUCUAGCUAGAUAUUGUGUCCCAAAACAUUGGUCGAAGACAUUCAUCAUAACAGAAGGUUUGUUUAUUCAUGUGCAUUCAUGCAUAAACUUGAGUUUAGUCUAUUUAGUCAUGUUGUCUGGUCAGAAAUUCUCACUGUUAUCCAGCUGUUUGGUCAAGCUUUUUGAGUCAACCCAUAUGGGCUUUCUGACAAUUUAGUUCGAGGUUGAAAUCUCAAUCUUAGAUUUUCUUAGAUUGAGCUCUGCAUUGACAAGUGUCUUUAUCCUUAUGUGGACAGAAAUCUUGUAGCUCCCAUGAUAAAACCCUAGAUGCCUUCUUUGUUUCUUCGGCUAUAACAUUUUACAUUUGUUAAAGAGUGUGUUUGAGUUUAGUGUUUCCUUUUUUAAUUGCCCUGCCAUAAAAUUGUUCUCAUGCAUUAAAACCCAAGAUUUUUGUGUAUCUGGGUUGCAUUGGUUCCUUUGUUUUGUGUUUUGUUCUUGAUCUAGCUUUAUAAGUUAAAACCUUUAAUCAGAUCAAGUAUUGGAUUGUUGUUGGUUUCUUCAUUCAAGUGUUUGAUUGGAGAAAUUGAUUGGUUUUAAAUCCAAAUUUCAUAUCAUUUGCAUUGAUCGUGUUGGUUCUCGGUCCACAAGAUGAUGAGCUCAGGAGGAGCUGCCACUUCGUGAAGAUCGAAGGAGUCCAUCUAGUGUAAAGCAAGGUUGCACAAAGGUAUAAACUGCUCAAUAGAUUAGGAUUUAGGAAUUGGGCUUAUGCGGAUACUUUGUAUGAAUCUUGUUUACACUAGUGGAUUGGACUCAGUGGUGAGUCCCCGGUUUUUUAACCCAUAUGUAGGUUUUUCCUACCCAAAACACCCUGUGUUGAUUAUUGUUUUUCUUGGCUUUUAUAUCUCAAUAUUUGUGAAUGAGAUGCUAUCACCAUGACCUGUUCUUGCAACUAAGUUUAUCAGCGUUUGAAUUUAUACUGAACUGGAUCUUAGUUAACUAUGAACAUUUCAGUAAUUCAAGUCUUUAAAUUGAUUGAUUUAGCUGUUAUUAAACUAACAAAUCUGAUCUUAGUUGACUGGUGUUGCUGACUAGUCAGACAAGCACAUAUAUAGAUUUUUAAAUGCAGGUUAUUUCACCUGGUAUCAAUUUUAGAUAUAGAUCCGAAGUGAUGUUGGUCUCUUUGACACUGUACGAGUGCCUCGAAUGGAACCUCGUCAUCUGAAGUGGCGCCGCGGGCCCCUGAAUAGUGACAAAGCUAGGGAUGCACUGAGGAAAAUUUAACCUUGCAUCUCUAGCAAGAUUGUCGCCACAGCCAGAUGCUCGCUUUCCUCUACAAAUAAGUCGGUAGCUCUGCUUGAGAAAUUCUCUCAACCUAAAUUUAAGUAAUUUCGUGCUGUACAACAAUAGCAGCACUUAGAUGUUCAAGAUGUAUGGUUCUUGGAGUUACUAGCCCAUUCUAUCAAUUACUUCGAAAUCUUAGCCAUAUUCGCAAACACCUAUUUAGUGUACCACGAUGUUUGCUAUCAAGCCAUAUUCAGCAUGGAUGCUCAAAACAAGGAUGAAAGUCUUAAGGCUUACUUAAAGCGAUUCCUCGCGGAAUUUGCUGAAGUAGAAAAGAGAGACGAUUGACUCGCCAUCGUGGCUUUCAAGCAGAGAGUUUAUGUCCACUCACCCCUCUCUCUAGACCUGACAAUUUCUUAGAUGACCUGUUAACCUGACCCCAAACAACACGAAAAUAAAGGGUUUUAGUCAACACAUUAACUAAUCGGGUCGCACUUUAAGAACCCGUUAAUAACUAGUUCUUAACAAGUUUACCCAUGGGUAAUCCAUUAAGAAUAAAGUUAGUUUGAUAAUUUUACACUACUAAACAAACCUUACUACAAUAGCCAUAAUAUUUAAUCUCACUUAUGUGAGAUUAAAAAAUUCCAAAGCACAUUGAAAAUACCAAAGUAAUUUAGAAAUACCAAAGCACAUUAAAAAUUCAUAAUAAUUAAUUUACAAGUGUGAAAAAUGUGAAAAAAAUUAUGCAAAUGCUCGUGAUCAUAUCCUCUAUGCUUUGGCGAUAAGUCCAUGUUCGUUUGAAUUUUUAAAACCUUACAAAUCCUCAUGACUAGUUUUUUUUUUAGUCCAAAAUAAAUAAAAAAUCAUUAUAAUUAAUAUUCAAGUGUGAAAAAUGUGAAAGAAUAUACAAACGCUUGUGAUUGCAUCAUCUACACAUAGAUGAUGGUUACAUUGCUUUUUGGUUUUUAAAACCUUCUAAACCCUCAUGAAUAGUGUUUUUAUUUAUUUAAGUGCAAAAUUAAUAAAAUUUGAUAAUAAUUAAUGUGGAAGUGUGAAAAAUGUAAAAAAAAAAUAUACAAUCACUCGUAAUGACAAGUUUUACAACUUUCAUGAAGGGGUGAAGUCUGAAAUUCGACAACAUAAUCCAUAAACCCGAGAUUUAUAGUUAUCUAUUGAUUGUCAUUUACGCUCGAUUCUUCUCACUAGAUUUCGUUUUUCAAUUUUUUUGUUUUUGAAAAUAUGAUCUUUUAGUGGAUACAGAAUAAUGAACGAUUCGGAUAAUUGAUAUCACGAUCCAUUGUUUACGGUUAAUUCAAAUAUGAGUUAAUGUUAUAUAGUUUCUUGCCGUGAUAUCAACUUUCCAAACCGUUCAUCUUUCUGCAUCCGCUUAUAGAUCAUGUUUUUAAAAAAGAAAAUCUGAAAAUGAAAUCCAGUGAGAAGAAUAGAGCAUAAACUGUGAUCGACGAUUAAAUAUAAAUAUAGAGUUUAUGCAUUAUGGGUCGAAUAUCGAAGACAACCCCAUCACAAAAGUUAUAAGCUUGUCAUUACGAGUGAUUGUAUAUCUUUUUUACAAUUUUUUUUCACUCUACAUUCAUUAUUAUGAAUAUUUGGGGUAUGUAAUACUUGAAAGACAAAUGUGCUUUUAUGUUUUGAAGUAAUACUUAUGUGACAAUGUGGUAUGUAGACACUAAUUUAGUAUUACGUGUUGGAACCAAAUUGCGCACCUCCGGGAGUAGUGGUUGAGCACAAACUCGGGCAACGUGCAAAACAGUAAACAACUGUGAGCAAGCCUAAGACUCGAGGGGAGGGUGUGGUGUGUCGGCCAAAGGCUUUCCAACAGUCAAGUUAGUGAAUAAUUUUAGACUGUAGCAAUAGGUAGAAGAAUUGAAGUGUUUAGAUUGCGUUACCAUAGAUGAACCCUAGAUGGGUGAAUUUAUACUACAAGGAGAUAGACCUUUUUAGGAUAGAAUUCUCCUUCUAAACUGAGAGAAUCUUAGAGGAUAUCUAGUAAGUAGACAUUGCAUCAUCUUAUGAGUUGUGAUUACUUGCAGUGCACGCCAAUCCUUAAAUAUAGGAACUCUAAAACUUAUAAGAUAUGAUUGUGUCCAUAAUUAGAUCAGAUCGCAUGUCUUGUGGAUCAAGCAUGAUCAUCCAGUAGAGUUACGAGGACUCCGCCUAUUGCCUUAGAGUCAAGUGAUGGUGGCACCCUGCUCCAUCUGAUACAGCUUAGCUCAGAGCUAGUGAGUCCAUGAUCGGACUUUUGAGGUAACAAUAUUUAAAUUAGCCUUACUCUAACCUGCAAAAUUAUAGUCCCACAAUUGCCCCAAAUUAUCCGUCUAAGAGGCAACCCGUUCCCCUUGAGUUUGAUUGUUAUCCAAAAAUCGUACCUGUUGGAGUAAGCUGGAAUAUGUACUGUUUAGUCUUUAGAACGAUGUAACCUUCGGUAUUGAAGUGGAGGCUUUUUGGACUUGGAUGAGUAGUCUCGAGCUAUGUGCCAAAGUUUGGUAACAAUGAUUGUUGGAACCAAAAUAGUGAAACAACUGUAAGCAAACCUUAACCCAAAGGGUGUGCCGCCAAAGGCUUUCCGACGAUCAAGUUAGUGAAUGAUUUUAGACUCAAGCAAUAGGCAAGAGAAUUCAAGUGUAUAGAUUGUGUUACGUAGUUAAACCCUAGUUGGGUGUAUUUAUAUCAUGGGAGAGAAACCUUUUAGGAUAAAAUCCUCGUUCUAAGUUGGGAGGAUUUUAGAUGAUAUCUAGUAAGUAAAUACAGCAUCCCCUUAGGAGUGUGAUUACUUGCAGCGCAUGCCUAUCCCUAGAUUGUAGGGACUCCAAGACUUAUAAGAUUUGAUUGUGUCCAUAUUCGGAUCAAAUCACGUCUCUUGUGGAAUAAGCAUGGUCAUCUAGUAGAGCCAUUUGAACUAUGUCUAUUGUCCCGGAGUAGGAUGAUGGUGGCACUCUGCUCCAUCUGAUACAGCUCCACCUUGAGCUGGUGAGUCCAUGACCGGAUUUUUGAGGUAACAAUAUUCAGAUUAGCCUUACUCCGACCCUGGAAAAUCACAUUCUCACAAUUGCCACUAACUAUCCGUCUGAGUGGCAACCUGUUCCCCUUGAGGAUGGAUUAUUAUCAAAGACCAUGCCUUUCGAAGUAAGUUGGAAUACUUACCGUUUAGUCUUUAAAUUCUUUCACAAGUGAUAUGGCCUUUGGAUGGCAGUGUCUUCAAUCCUAAAUGAGUCACCUUGAACUCCUUGUUUUUGACCUCGAUAUGAUGAUGCGUCGCGUUCGUCGUGUGCACAUGAAAAACGAGAAAUUUCCUUUGAUAACAAUCAGGUCCAUUGAUUUCGAGGUAAAACGGUCUGUAUUUAAUGGUAUGAUGAUUCAAAAUAUCCUCUUUUAAAUAACUUCCACAUCACCAAUUUCACUUUUCUUCAAAUUCCCAAAUCUUGUUUAGAAGGCGCUUCCACUAUUCACUCGUCGAUGUUAACCUUCUCUUACUUGAUCGAAUUUAAUGGCGACCAGCUCUUUUAACCUAACUAUUCAAUCUGACAUUCUGGUUAGGGUUUGUAACAGAGGUGAAGAAGAAGUCUUUCCUACGAGUCGUAGUCAUCUUCUCAAUGGAUGUUGGGCUUGGUAGGAAGAUAAUGGUAAUGUGGCAACAGAACUUCCUAACUCCAAGUUUUCUGAUCGCCCAUGUACUAGAAUCCACCCUUGUUAUCUUGAUUUAGGACUAGGGUGCCCUCUGUCACAACUAUAAAAUGAGAUCCUUAUUCAUUUUCAAAGUUAGUCUCUGCAAUCUCACCCCGACUUCCAUUCGCAUUAUCUUCUGUUUCGACAGCCUGGAUGAUUGGUAUCAUGCUGAGCUGGGCUUGUUUGAAUUUCUCACUUUUUAGCAACUCUAAAGGAGUUCACUCCCUACUUCUUUCAAUCCCGGUCCACCAUUUGGUGGCCUGCCUACAUCACUGAUAUCCUAUCUCACGACAAAGAUUGGUACAUAGAUAUCCUUUUGGUAGAAAGGACUGGAACAGUGAUAUAUCCUUGCCGAGAAUUCCUUAUAAGCUCAAAAGUGACAUUCCUUAUAAGAUGGGUGACUAGAAUCCUAGUCAAUGUUGCAUUGAGCUUAUAGAUAGGGCGUUCAAACUCAUUCUCUCUUGGCAUUGGAGUUGGAAGUGGCUUAGGGCGCCGAAGAGAAACAUUGUUCAGAGAAGGGACGACAUCAACGAUCUUUGCUAUAAACAUCUCAUUCCUAACCCUGCAUGGGUUGGGACCUAAUGCUUUGAAGUCUUCCAAACAUUCCAAAGGUGCCCCUAAAGCAGAGAAAAAGAAAAUGAAGAUGAGGACUAAAAAGGAGGAUUCGAAGAUGGUCCUGGUCAAAGCAUCCAAGAAAAAGACCAAGUUAACGGGUCAUCCUAGGAUUUGUUUAGAUAAAAGAUCGAAAACCAUGAACCUUGCUCCUAUUAUUGAAGAGAAUUUGCAACAAAUCCCUGCAAACCCAGGUAAAGGAAAAGGUAAAUCCAUUCUUGUAGAGGGGUCAACGUUGGCACGAAGGCUGUUGAAAAAGGGAGUGCAUCCAUCUGUACUUGAUUCUUGGUUUUGUAGCUGCCCCUACUAGUAAUCAAAGUCUUGUUGGCAAACUGAAUACCUUGAUGCCCGAUACAUCAUCCAUUAUGUCUGGUAUUUGUGAGAGAAUAUUUAUCGAGGUGCCUCACUUAGUGAUCAGGACCGCUAUCGGUUCAGAGCCACUUCCUCUAGAUGCAAAUGGUCUUCGAGAUGCGGGAUAAGCUCAGGCUUUGAUGUGCUCAGCUCCUUUUUGCAGAUUAUAGGGAAAUCUAAAUUACGAAAUAUCCGAGGGAGAGAUGUUAUCAAAGCAGAUAUGUGGUUAGUCUUCUCAAUCUUUCAUAUCACUAGUUAUCUAUGUGCUCAUUUUUUCUUAUUCCUACCUCAAUAUACCUUUCUUAAGCUAAUCUGGGCCCAAACAAAUGAGAACUCCCAACUUAAGGCUGCUAAUAAUAGUGAGUUAGGCAGCAUGAUCAAAGCUGAUGGGACCUGCAGAAGAGAAGUGCUAGGCUCGAGAUGUUACUGGUGGAUAAACAAGCUUAGAAUGCUGAGAGAGAUACCCUUAGGACGCAUUUAUAAGAAACCUAGAGGGCAUUCACAUCAGAGAGGAGUUUGUGGGAAGCAGACAGGUCUAUCAUCCAGUCGAAAUUGGACGUAGUUCAGGAUGAAAUGUGUUGUAUAGAGAAAAUCCAAGCAAAGUCUUCUCAGCAAAACGAGGAAAAAGUCAUGGAGCUACAACGACAAUACUAGGAAGACAUCAUCCUUGAGUACAAUUAGGGUUAUCUUGAUGGUUAUAGUGUUUAGGACCAUCGUGAUCAGUGGGACAUUACUUGUUUGCUCAAAGAGAUAUGAAACGCUGAUUUGCCGGUGCCUUCCUCGCUUGUAGUUGAUGCAUUGAUGAUCGCCUUAUCGGAGCAUAGUGAAUCUUCUUCAGAGUUUAAAGGACAAAUGAAGAAGAAGGAUACUGCUGCUGCUAAUACUCAUCUUGUUGGUUCCUAUUCAGUUGAUCUUAAGGACGUAACGAACUCCGGUGCCGCUAAAUAGUUGUUUUUCUUAUGCUUUGCAAAGCUAGAAUGGGGGCGUGUCCCAUUCACUGAACACUUUGCCCCUGUCUGAGCUUUGAAUCUUUUUAACUUUGUCUGAGGGUGUUCUUUUCUUGUACCUCAUAUUUUUCUAACCGUGUCCCCGAUUCGGCUAACUUUCCAAAGUAAGCUAACUUUGGAACAAUAAGUAGCAAGGUGAAGCACAGAUGAGUUUGUGGGCCCGAGACAGAGCAUAAUAGCCCCCUUGAUGAUAUUGAUCCGAAAAAACAUCAUCUCUCAAACUCAAUGCUUGUAAGGGUACCCAUCGUGAUAAUCAAAGUACCAUCUUGCUCUAAUACCAGGUGUUAAGGCCCAUAGAGAACCCUUUGCCUUGUUUCUACUCUUGUUGCUAGAUCUAAGAGGACGGUAUUUCUUUUAUCAGGAAUGUCCUCUCAUUUAUUUGCUUUUCUCAUUUCCUUUCUAGAGAUUCUUCGAAUCUUGUUGCAAAGUGAUGCUCGAGGGAUUUGUACCUCUUAGCACAUGUUGCGUGUUUGUCUCCAGUGAAUUUUUAGGCGAAAGUUUGUUGGAGAAGAGUUUACCUGCUUGUCGAUCGAAAACAAUUUUUCAAUCCUUUUGUCAGACCUUAAGCAUCAAACCUGAGCAUUUCCGUUCGGACUACUUUGGUUGGCUUGACCAUAACAUUUAUAUGUAUCGGAGCUCCGUCGGAAUAAAUUCCUCUUGGGGAUUGCCUAGUCUGGAUGCCCAUUUCGAACCUGCUAAUACUUGGUGUUGUAGGCUUACUUGGUACGGAAUAGAAGUAGUCGUACUCGAGGUCGGAUUUGAGAGCCACCUUCCGAUGAGUUUCGGAUCACCCUUUCGACUAUUCCUUCGAAUGGCAUAGAGCUUGGGUUUGAAUGUUAUAGCCCAUAACCUUGCUAGUUGCAUAAACUUUUCAAAGGUCGAAGAGUGCAUUGGACUUCUAGGUCAAGGCACCAUGUACCCGUGCCCGUAGCUCGUCAAUCGUUACCGCGCUUAUUACAGUUCGAGUUUCCCAAGUUGCUAAUCGUUCCAGACAGAUUAGGCUAAAUGAGGCUCAUCUAACAGUGUAACUUUGAACGUUUUUAUACUUUAUUGUUGCAAAGUUUUCAAAAUUUGUGCCCUAUUUUGAAUGAGUAUGGUACUCCCUGCAUCACCCAAAAAAUAGAGAAAGAACACAUAUUUAAGACAAACAUAUGCUUUUGAAUCAUGAUCCAAGUAAAGUUGGUUUACAAGAGGGUGUGAUUGAAUCCGUUCCGACAUGCAUAUUUUUUAUUUGCCAAUGAAUUUACGAGAACGAUUGCCUACAUAUCUCAGGAAUGGAGAAUCAAAUCACUAUUCUAGUUCUAAGGAAAAGAUGAUAUGAUGUAAAAAUUACAUCAGGGAUCACUUCUGACGAAAAGCCUAUGGUGGGGCGUUAGGAGUUGAGUUAUUGGUGAACUUGUCUUCACGCAGAUGGCGGUGUUGUGAUUGGGUCAGGAGAGGAUUGCCUACAUAUCCCAGGAAGGGAAUCAAAUUGUGUAUAGUUUGUGUUACCUUUUUUCUUUCAUUUGAUUUGGACUCGACAACAAGGUAUCCACUUCAUGGUGGUUGGUGUCAGAUUUCUUGUGACCCUUUCUGUUGCUUGUGUCCGACCUUUGCAGAUGACGUUUAUGUUGAGGGUCAUUUUUUUACAAGUUGUUGGUCUUCAUUAUCGGUGUGUUUGUCCGACCGGUCUAUGUUCUUGGGUUCAGCUGAAUUUUCCUUCUGUGCCUUGUCCCUAACAAAUUUCUAGCAGUGCCCUUGAUCCAGCAGCUCUUUGAUAUUAUCCCUCAGCACUCAAUAACCUCUGGUGGUGUAGGCAGUAAUCUUAUGAAAAUAGCAAUAUUCACUUAGGUUUUUCUUGGCUAAAUGCUUUGGGAAAGGUUUUGGACGUCAGAGGAGGGGUUUAUCUUUUAUGCUGUGGAAGAUGUUAUUAAUGGCGGUAUUCAGGGCAAUAUACUAUUUGAGUUUUGACCGCUCUUUCUUGUCUCGGCGUCCUCUUUUCAUGACUUGUCGAAAAGAAGGUGGGGGAGUGUUUUUGUCCAUCAUUCUCUCCCCCAUUCUUCUGUUAGUUUUCCUAGAUUAAUCGAGUUCAAUGGUCGUCAUUCGGCUCUUAUCGUCCCCUUCGAUCAGAUAGUCUGCGAUAUAUAAGCACUUAACUAGAGUAGCGUAGUCAUAUUUUUUUCUUGUUCAGCUUCUGGGAGAGAAGUGAAUGGAUAUAAAGGCUUCGCUUGAAUGCCACAAUCGUGAAAGCGCUUCAAAUAAGCUCUAAGACAACUCUGCUCGAAAGCCCUUCAAAUAGGCUCUAAGACUUUCAUCUCUAGUUUGACUGAGUAGCCUGAACAUAGCUUCAUAGCAUUUUCUGACAUCAUGGUACACAUAAUAGUUGUUCGUAAAUAAGUCGACUAGAGUUUCAAAGCAGUCAAUGGACCUGGCUGAUAGCUCUGAAUACCACUUCAUGGCGGGUCCUUCCAAGGUGGAUUGGAACAUUUUGCACAUCCAAGCGUCGUUGUUGUUGUUGUACAAUGCCAUGUCAUAUCUGUAGUGCAUGAUAUGGUAGUCAAGAUCAGAAUCACCACGGAAUGACUUGAACCUCAAUUGAGAGAAUUUUUCUGGUAGGGGCAUUCAUUCGAUUGUUGCUGAAAAAUGCAUCUUGGUCCAAACAAUCGACCUAUUCGUAGUGCGAGGCUGAAUGAGACUUGCAUAAUUAUCUCCAUUCGGAGAGUAUCGUUGUUCUUGGUUACUAGGAGCCUUGGGUUCAUCGAACCUUAAACGGCAGGGUUCCCUCAUCAAUCCCCCGAUGUGUUUUGAGGGGGAUUUUGCAGAUUUUAGGUUCCUUCUCUUGUGUCUGCGCCUAGGAUCUGCCCAUUGCCUGUGGGAUUUCUUAUGGGAUUUACGGUGUUUGCUGCAACGACUCGUCCCCAAAAUUUACGAUUUUUAUAAUUUUUAAAAUGCUAAUUUAUGAAAAUGCCCUUCGAGGAAAAUGCGAUGAUUUAUGUUGACAACCUUGUCAUGUCACUUAAGAUCCAUUUUCUUGGUGUAUCCUCGUAGUACUCAUCACUACGAAUACAUGAGCACAAACAGAACGUAAUUUGGAGUUAUAACGAAUGAGUUAUUAAUGAUUGAAGUUAAGGGCAAAAUGGCCAGUUGACCAUAAAUCUGGAAGGCUCCAGAUUUUAUUGGAACAUUAAUAUGAUGCCACGUGUAUGGCCAGCAUGGAGACUUGAGGGGCGACCCAAUCAGAAGGGGGAAAUGAGAGAAAUGUGAGAUGGGAAAAAUGAGGGAACCUAUUCAUCCAUUUGACCUGUUUUCCAACCCGAGACUCGGUUCUAACCCAGACGUCGGGCAUGGUUUUUUGACGUCGUUGUGGCAUUUUGCUUGCAAAUUAGGGCUAUCCACCAUUACCAAAUCAUUUCCCUGCCACUUUCCCUUCCAUCUACAACCAAACCAACGAGUUUUGGCCUUGGUUUUGCCUGUAACCCACCGACUGGUCCGAGUGAUUCUCGACGGCGAUUUACCAUUUGUGAAACAUUUUCCUUCGAUCACCACCACCAUUAGACUUCUCUUGAGGCCGGGAACAAAGCCCAAACAAGUUAGGGGGUGAUGGAGUUGAAGAUUUGACAAAGAGCACUCAAUUCUAAGGUUUCCAGCGGAUCGAUGGUGAAUUGGGGUGUUUCCCAGUAAAAUUGGAUUUCGGCCUAGGUAUGAAAGUUGUUCCUUUCAUUGAGAUCUUCAUUCUUGUUAAUUUUGGGAUUUUUUAGAAUUGUUGAAUUUUCCAGCAAGUCGGGGUGGCCGGCCGCCGCGUGACCUUUCGAGUCGCCGCCUCAUGGUGGCUCAUGCGGUGGCGCGUGAGGGGAAACCUAGGUCCCUCCUUAGGUUUUUUGAUGUGCCGGAUCCAAAUUCGCCAUCUUUUUUCCUAAAUUCUAUCAUUUAGAUAUAGUUUUACUAAAUGGUCCCUAAUUAUGUUUAGGCGCGUGGCGGGAAGCGACAUCAUCCUUACUAGCUCGAGCGGUUUCCGAACAACGAAAUAUUUAUGAGUAGACCCCUUCUUAACUGAUAUGUUUUUAUAAAUACUAGCCUAGCAUGCAUUUCAUAUUUCAUGAUUUAAGUGUGUUUUAUAAUAUGCUUAUGGAUUUCUAUAAUUAUGGUUUACGAAAUAUUCAUGAUUUAUCGAGAUUACAUUUUACGAAUGGAUAUGAAUUAUUGGAUUUGCAUAUAUGGAUUUCUAUGGAUUUUGAACAUGAUUUAUCAUGGAUUUAUGAGAUGAGACUUUGAGCUUGUGAGCUUCAGAUUUGAUACAAGUUUUGAGAUAUGUUUCGGUACUUAUCUAGUGGGUUAUCAUACAACACAUACACGUACCACGGGGUAUGACGUCUAUGGCCAUAGGACACAGUGGAGGAGUAGUGAGAUAUAUGUGUACACACACACACACACACAUACCCCCAGCUUCACUGCCAAAAGCAGUGUUUGACAGCUUCACUAGCCACGGCUAGAGUCGGUGUGUAUGUAUGCUCUUUUAUUCAGCUUCACCUUCAGGUGAUGGACAUGUACUGCUUUUGGGUGACUAUGAUACCCCUAGAGAGAGUACAGUAUUGAUGAGAUUUUUCGAUUUGCCUUUGAGCGUUGAUUGCACCGUUUUUUAGCAUGGUUUUACUCGUACUUGUUUACGAAUGUUUUCAUGGCAUGCUAGGGUUUUCAGAAAAAACUUAUUAUGUAGUAUUAUAUAUGUUUUAAAAUAGGGGGUUAGUAUGUUCAUAAAUAAAAUGGUUUUCUUUACUAUUAGUAUUAUUAUUAUUAUAAACUUUGGUCCACUCACCUUUUUUUGUUUUGUACCCCCUUAGGAGGUAGAAUUGAGGCACACGAUCCCGACGUCAGGACAAGUCUACAUAGGUAUAUUCGAGUCUCCUCAGUGUAUGACUCUUUCUUUCAUUCAUGCCUUUUUCUAAUAAUUCUUUCUUAUUAUUCCAAAUUAGUGUAUGCUCUGAACACGUUUCUACAUUGUAUUUUUUUUUCUAAUUACAUAUUUUAUUCAUAGGCAUGUCCAAAAUAGCUUCGUCACCCUCGUGUAUCUGCCAGCACGUGCCUAUCCUAUUAAUAAAUGAAUAUCAGGAUCAGGGCAUGUCAUUUAUUGACACCUGAAUGAUUGAAGAUGUUAUGGGAUCGCCUUCUAGAGUCAUGGUGCUUAUGCUUCCAAAUCCAAAGACAAGGAUUUAGGUAGGAGGCGUUGUCCCGCUCAAGUUCUCCAGAUUCUUCAUCCGUUCUUCCAUUUUCAUGAAGUUGGAAUAACUGUUAGCAUGAGCCACAGUCUAGUUCUUCUGUAGCUUUUUGACAAAAGUGAUGAUCUUAGUUAGAGUCAAGGUUCUAAAAGUCGCUAGGCGCUAGUCGGGCGGCGGGCUGGGGCCUAGCGCCUAGGCGGCUAGGCGGGGCCUAGGCGGGAGCCUAGGCGGACUAGGCGGAUUUAAGUAAAUUUAUCAUAUUUCAGGUAAAUAAGUGUCUGCUUCUACUUGAAAUAUAUAUAAUUUCAUCAUAAACUACAAAAUAGAAUGCAUAUAUAUCAUGAAGUAUUGGAACAUAAUGAAAACAUGUGAAAUAAGGAUAUAAUGUUUGUUCAUUCAAGUAUGCAACAAGUCUCUUAUAAUUUAUUGGAAAAAAACAAAAUGCAAAAUGAAAGUUAUGUAUUUUCUGUCUAAGUGAGUUGCAACCUAGGCGGGUCUAGGCGGGUGCCUAGGCGGGCUAGGUGGGUGCCUAGGUGGUCUAGGCGGUGGGCUGGGGCCUAGGCAUUAAUCGGGGCAGUGGGCUGGGGCCUAGCGCCUAGGCGGGGCCUAGGCGGCGCUAGGCAGGGAUUUUUAGAACAGUGAAGAGUUUCCCAAAUCUCAUCCAUAGAAGGGGAGGUUAUAUGACUGGAUCUCAUCCUUCCCCAAGGGUGGUCGUCAUCCCUUGGGGGUCGUUGCUGGCUCCAGGCGUUCCUGCAGUAGUUGGAGGCAACGAGCCCUUUGCCUUAGGGAUAAUUGAUGCAUCAUAGGGUAGGCCUUUUUCGCCUAAUGGGUUGACAUGGGUGUUAAAUAAACUUUCUUCGCGCUGACUUGUUUACUGGUGGAGUGGUCUGGUCGAGAGGAAUAUGGGUUUGCUCUCUAUGAAAGCACCAAUUGUUGGAACCAAAACUGCACACCUCUUUCAGUGGCAGUUAAGCGUAAAUCCACGUAGUUUGGAACAACCUACAAAACAGUGAAACAAUUGUAAGCAAACAUAGGCCGGGAAGGGGGAAGGUGUGUGUGCCGGCCAAAUACUCUCUGACGAUCAAGUUAAUGAAUGAUUUUAGAUUCAAGUAGUGGGUUAAGUGUAUAGAUUGUGUUACCAUAGCUGAGCCAUAGAUGGGUGUAUUUAUACCGUGGGAAAGAGACAUUUUUAGAAUAGAAUCAUUAUUCUAAACCGGGAGAAUCCUAAAGGAUAUCUAGUAAGUAGAUAUUAAAUCCUAUUAGGAGUGUGAUUACUUGUGGUGCACGCCCAUCCCUAAAUUGUAGGGACUGUAAAACUUAUAGGAUUUGGUUGUAUCUAUAUCCAGAUCAAAUUGCAUAUCUUGGGGAACAUGCAUGGUCAUCCAGUGAAGUCGCUUAGACUCCGACUAUUGCUACAGAGUAGGAUGAUGAUGGCACCCUGCUCCAUCUAAUACAGCUCAGCAUGGAUUUGGUGAGUUCAUGACCGGACUCUUGAGGUAACAGUAUUCGAAUCAACUUUACUUCAGCCCUAAAAAAUCAUAGUCCCACAAUGAUGCGUUGCAUUUGUUACUUAUGCACGAAAAACAAGAAAUUUCCUCUGAUAAUCUGCUAUAUAGACAAAACUGUUAGAUUUGCUGAUCUCAAAAGGAACUGAUCUGUAUUCAACGGUUGGAUUACACAGUCUUCACUAUUAUUCUUCCUGAGUAAACCCUAAUUCUGGUAAAAUUAUGGCCGCCAGUUCAUAUGCCAUCCUGUUAUUCAUACUGGUUCUGACGUCUUUCCUAAGCCUCCCAUGGUUAGGGUUCUUAAUAAAGGAGAAGGAUAAGCCUUCCUUGCAAGUCGUAGCCAUUUUCUCAACAGGUGCUGAGUAUGGUGGAAAAAUAAUGACAAGGUGGCAAGCGAACUUCCCGAUUCUAAAGAUCCCAAUCGUCCUUGCACCAGAAUCCACCCAUACUAUCUUGAUUUGGGGCUAAGGUUUCCCUUGUUGCCUUUGUGGAGAAAGAUUCUUGUGUUUUACUUACCCCUUCAUUGGCACACAUUGUUACCACAUUUGAAUGCCUAAAUGAGUUGUAUAAAGCUGAACUGGGCUUUCAUGAGUUUUUCGUUCUUUACGAUCUUUACAAUAGCACUUACACGUGGUACUAUUUCCAGACUUGAUCUGCUCUUCGGUGGCCUACUUACAUUACGGAACUGCCUAGUCAAGAUAAAGACUAGUACAAGGAUAUUCUCCUGGUGGAAGGGAAUUAGGAAGGAGAUAUAUCUGAGCCAAGGGAUCCCCAUAAACCAAAGAGCGAAGUUAAUAGCAAAAUAGAGGCCAAUGACCUUAGACCAUGUCGUCGUGAGCUUAUCGAUAAAGCUUUCCACUUUAUCCCUAUCCCACAUCAGAGUUAGAAAUGGUUUAGUACGGCGGAUAAAGAAAGCGCAUACAUUAGUACGGCGGAUAAAGAAAGAGCACACAUGAGGGAUGACGUCAUGGACCUUUGUUCUGUCCAUCCUAUCCUUAACCCGGAGUGGGUUGAGGCUAAAGCUCAUAUGAGGCCGCUGAAGAAGAAAAAGAAGGGAGUGGGUUGAGGCUAAAGCUCAUAUGAAGCCGUUGAAGAAGAAGAAGAAGAAGAAGAAGAAGAAGAAGAAGAAGAAGAAGAAGAAGAAGAAGAAGAAGAAGAAGAAGAAGAAGAAAAGAAAAAGAAGGAAGAAAGAAAGAGAAGAAAGGAGGAAGAAGGAGAAGAAGAAGAAGAAGAAGAAGAAGAAGAAGAAAGAAGAAAGAAGAGAAGAAGAAGAAGAAGAAGAAGAAGAAGAAGAAGAAGAAGAAGAAGAGAAAGAAGAAGAAGAAGAAGAAGAAGAAGAAGAAGAAGAAGAAGAAGAAGAAGAAGAAGAAAAGAAGAAGAAGAAGAAGUUGUCAAAGUUUCAUAGUUAGGCCAAUUGUGAGACCAUGAUUUUCAAAGAUCAAAGUAAGGCAAUACGGCGGAUAAAGAAAGCGCACACAUUAGUACGGCGGAUAAAGAAAGAGCACACAUGAGGGAUGACGUCAUGGACCUUUGUUCUGUCCAUCCUAUCCUUAACCCGGAGGGUUUGAGGCUAAAGCUCAUAUGAGGCCCUGAAGAAGAAAAAGAAGGAGUGGGUUGAGGCUAAAGCCUCAUAUGAGGCCGUUGAAGAAGAAGAAGGAAGUGGGGUUGAAGAAGAAGAAGCUCAUAUGAGAAGAAGAAGAAGAAGAAGAAGAAGAAGAAGAAGAAGAAGAAAGAAGUUGUCAAAGUUUCAUAGUUAGGGCAAUUGUGAGACCAUUAUUUUCAAAAGAUCAAAGUAAGGCAGUACGGAAUAAAAGUACACGGAUUAGAAAGAGCGGAUAAAGACGUCAACAACACAGGGCGAUGAAAGAUGGAUUUGUCUUUCAUCCUAUGUUUUAACCGUGAGGGAAGAAGAAAAAGAAGAAGAAGAGAAGAAGAAGAAGAAGAAGAAAAGAAGAAGAAGAAGAAGAAGAAGAAGAAGAAGAAGAAGAAGAAGAAGAAGAAGAAGAAGAAGAAGAAGAAGAAGAAGAAGAUAAGAUCAAAGUUUCAUAGUUAGGGCAAUUGUGAGACCAUUAUUUUCAAAGAUCAAAGUAAGGCAGUACGGCGGAUAAAGAAAGCGCACACAUUAGUACGGCGGAUAAAGAAAGAGCACACAUGAGGGAUGACGUCAUGGACCUUUGUUCUGUCCAUCCUAUCCUUAACCCGGAGUGGGUUGAGGCUAAAGCUCAUAUGAGGCCGCUGAAGAAGAAAAAGAAAGGAAUGGGUUGAGGCUAAAGCUCAUAUGAGGCCGUUGAAGAAGAAGAAGAAGAAGAAGAAGCUCAUAUGAGGCCGUUGAAGAAGAAGAAGAAGAAGAAGAAGAAGAACUUGUCAAAGUUUCAUAGUUAGGGCAAUUGUGAGACCAUGAUUUUCAAAGAUCAAAGUAAGGCGAAUCGGAAUACAAAUACCUUAGAAGUCCAGUUAUAGACUCAACAACUUCCUAGUGGAGAUGGAAAGACGGAUUAACGAUGCCACCAUCAUCUUGUUUUAGAGCAGUGGGCGAAGUCUGCGACUUCGCUGAGAUUGGCCAUGCUUGUUUCGCAAGACAUGGAAACUUAAUCCAGCAGGGAAUCAAUAGGUUUCCUAUAUUCUUGGAGUUCUUGCAAUCUAAGUAUUGGCUUGCGCUACAAUUAAUCAUACUCUAUAGGAUGCUAUAUCUACUUCUUAGAUAUCUUUUGGGAUUCUCUCGGUUUAAUACAAAUUCUAUAUCUUAAAAGGUUUCGACUUCAACUAGUAUAAAUACACACUUCUAGGGUUCAUGUCUGGUAACGCAAUUAUCUGGUCACUUGUUCUCUUGCCUACUGCUUGAACCUCAUAAUAUUGCUUACUAAAUCGACAUUUGGAAAACUUUUUACCGGCACCCCCUCCCCACCCCUCGAUCCUUGACUACUUACGGUUGUUUUUUCUUUUACAAGUUACUCGAGUUUGUGCAUUUACCUCUCACGGUAGUGCACGAAUUUGAUUCCAACAACUAUAAUUAUAUUUUUGUCUUUGUCAAUGCAAGUAUCAAACAGAAACAGUAUACUUUUUAAAUAAUUAACCGUCAAUUAAAAGAGCAUAGUACUUUUCUACGGUGAAAAAAAGGGAAAAUGAAGAAAGAAUUAGAUUUCCACUUAGGGUUUUCAAUAGCUUCCUAUUUUCAAAGUAUAUAAAGUUAGGUAGAUAAUUCCCACCCACCUUUUCAGCUUUUCACACAGAUUCUUUAUUUCUGAUUUAUGUCACUGAAUCAAACAACAGCGAGGGACAUGAAAGCAUUCAUGCAAAAUCGGAAGGUCGUGCGUCCAACAUGAUGCCAUGGUCUAAAAAACAGUUGGCUGGCAAAACAAUCUGAUCCAUUACAUAAGUAAACCAUCAGAUUGACUAAAUAUUCAUUUCUAUAAAGAAUAUUACUUGUAUAAAUGUCAGAUCCAUCAAUGAAUAAGUUGCAGAUAAAAGAAUUUGAGAACGUAAGUUUGGACUGCAAUUUCAUAAACAUUCUUUAAAACUGAUUUACUAGUACUAGUCAUUAUCGAAGAACAAACCGAUAUACCAACUAUCACUGCUUUAUUGGUAUUUGUCUUCGCAUUGUUGAAAGAAUGAAAAUAAUAAUUAACAAGUUAAUACUAGAAAUCUUCAAUAAUUCCCUGCCUAACAAUCCACUACUAAUCACACAAUACUAAAUCAUGCCUCAAUGUGAUUAGAAAUAGAAUCAUUCAAUAUAAGUUAUCACUUAUUCUUUAAAUUUUCUAAUAUAGGAUAGCAUUCAUCAACCUUUCCCCUCACAAGGACCUUUUUUUAUGGGCCACAUGCAAAUAAUUCUCCAUUGGUAGCCCCCUUUCUAUUCUUUAUUUAUUUUUAUUUUUCGGUUUCUUUUUCUCAAGCAGCGGAAGAUUGUCAUGAAAGUGUCGUUAGCUCGAGCUGAAUCAAGGAGAACCUGCCUGAUUCCAUUUAAAGACAUCACACUAGUUACUCGUUAUUAAUCACAUCGAUAUUUUUUUCAAUUUAAUCAUCUGUACAACUUUACAUGUGUUGAGUUUUAUAAAAAACGACCUCAGUGCAAUUAAAGGUGGAGCCGUUUAAUAUAAUUUGUUAUUUAUUCUGUCAAGUAUUCAUUGUGAAUUAAUGUGAAUAAAUAAUAUAGUCAAGUUGACUCAAUUAUAUAUAACCAACUUUGUGAAAAAAAAUCUCUCUUUAAACAUUGCAAGUUGCAACCGUACUCCAAAAAUUAGAAUUUAUGAAAUGAUGUUGUCAUCAUUCUCAACCAGCCAAUAAACAUUAGCCAUACAUGCUUCCUGCGGGUUAGAAUUUCUUGAUCAAUUAUGCAUCAUUGUAGGGGUAGUUCAGUAUGGCAUCCCAAAUCGAAAAUGGGAAUCCGAAUCCUAAACCAAAAAUUUUUGGGACGAGAAUUUGAAUAUCAAUCCCAAACUGAAAUUUAGGUAUUCCCAAUUUCCGGGAUUCCCAAAAUGUUUUUGGUAUUUCAUGAUGGAUUGGGAUUUGAUCUUCGGAUUUGGACUUUUGGAUUUUUUGGUUAAAAUUUGAGAUGUUUGGGUUAUGGGCUAAAAUUUGAGCUUUUGGCCUAAAAUUAUGUUCCUUAAUUUCAUAUAAAUUGAAAGUUAGGUUUUUUACCUCAUACCAAUUUGAAAUUUCAUACGAAUUUAUUAAUAUCAAGUUGAAUUGAUGCUGCAAAGUUCGAUAGUAAUUAAUUUCAUACUUCUAUUUCUAAUAUGGUCUACUAUCAAACUACUUAAAUUCAACAUUCAACAUGCAUGCAACCAAAAUAAAUAUAUAUAGUUUUUCAGUUCGGUUCGAGAUUCCCAAACCAUUGAAUAUGUAAUCCCGAUUUCCGUACUGAGAGGUUCAGGAUCGAUUCGGUAUGGAUCCCAAAAAAUUUUGUAUUAUCGGUUUGAGAAUUUUUCGGUAUGGAAUCGGAUUUUUUUUUUGUUUGGUUUGAGAUUUUCGAGAAAAUUUUCCAGCCCUACAUCAUGGACAAGGAUUGUCUGCCCUCUUUAUUCCCGUGCCCUCCCAUGCCCUUCUGUUUGUGUGGUCACGGUUAAGCCACGUCAACAUUUUAUAUUACUAUUUAUUUUUGUCUUAUUAUAUCUAUAAAAAAAACAAUAUAAAAUGUUGACGUAUCUUAACCGUGACCACACAAAACAGGAGGGCAUGGGAGGGCACUGGAACAAGGAGGGCAGACCAUCCUUGUCCCUACAUCAUAGGAGCCGAUUCAAACUUUGCUAAUAUAAUCAAACCUGCAUCCAAAAAAUUCAGGUCAAAAAUCAUGUCUCCAUCUUAUCUUUGUUAUCCAUUUCCUUUCUAGCUAGGUCAAUAUCCUUGAAACUUCCAUGAAAUUUAUUCUCAUCACAUUAUUAAUGAUAACCUUGAAUUUCAACUCCAUAACCAGAAGAAAAAUUUUGCUAUAAAAUUCUUCGAAAUUGCCAUUGAGGUCAACAUCAGUGAAACUUCCAUGAAAUUUACUCUCAUCAAAUUAUCAACGAUGACUUUGAACUUCAACUCCAUAAACAAAAGAAAAAAAUUUGCUAUACAAUUCUUCGAAAUUGCCGUUGAGGCCAACAUCAGUGAAACUUCCAUGAAAUUUAUUCUCAUCAAAUUAUCAAUGAUGACUUUGAAUUUCAACUCCAUAACCAAAAGAAAAAAAAUUGUUGUACAAUUCUUCGAAAUUGCCAUUGAGGUCAAUUGACGUACUUCAACCCAGAAUGUUCACCUGAACUUCGAGUCGAGCUGUGCUGGCCGACACCCGAAAAGUGGCGAAGCCAAAAAGUGUACUGAUGUGGAAAAUAUGGAUAAAUUUAAACUUAAAAGUGACUAAAUUCAGGACUGCGCAUGUGAACGGGAUUGAACCCAAUUCACACGUGUUGUCAUUCUAUAUGUAAUAUAGUGUGUGUGUGUGUGUGUGUGUGUGUGUGUGUGUGUGUGUGUAUUUGGAAACUAUACUUGUUUUGUGGCAAUUUGUUAUUACGUUUUUGAAAAAGGUUUUACAAAUCUUUAUUUUCAGGCCCACUCACCCUUGUUUUUAAGGUUUUAGUGGCAGAACUUUCGUGUCGACGAGGAUUCUUGGCAAAUGUUGAUAUAGGAGAGUACCUUCGAUGGUAUAAUUCUUAUUCCACUUUUAUUGUACUUUACUUAUGCUUUGACAUCACAUAUGAAUUGGGUUCAAUCCCGCUCACAUGUGCUUUCUUGCAUUCAGUCGCUUUUAGGUUUAAAUUUAUUCAUAUUUUCCAUAUCACCGCACUUUUUGGCUUCGUCACCUUUCGGGUGUCACCAGCACAGCUCGACUCGAAGUCCAGAUGAACAUUCCGGAUCAGGGUGUAUCAUCAACAUUUCAUGAAAUUUAUUCUCAUCAAAUGAUCAAUGAUGAUUAUGAAUUUCAACUCCAUAACCAAAAGAAAAAAUUUGCUAUACAGUUCUUCGAAAUUGCCAUGGAGGUCAACAUUAGUGAAACUUCUAUGAAAUCUAUUGUCAUUGAAAUUAUCAAUGAUGACUUUGAAUUUCAACUCCACAACCAAAAGAAAAAUUUUGCUAUAAAAUUCUUUUAAAUUGCCGUUGAGGCCAACAUUAGUGAAACUUCCAUGAAAUUUAUUCUCUUCAAAUAUCAAUGAUGACUUUGAAUUUCAACUCCAUAACCAAAAGAAAAAAAUUGCUAUACAAUUCUUCGAAAUUGCCAUUGAGGCCAACAUCAGUGAAAUUUCCAUGAAAUUUAUUCUCAUCACAUUACGUAUUGAGAUGUGAUGCUAGAAAGCAUAAAUUGUUGUUGGCUGAGAGUUUAUAGUUGUAAAAUGUCACUAGUGUCAACUUGAAGGUAAUAAUUUUUUGUUUUUAAAUUGGGUAAUCAAAAUUUAUUUGCUCAGGAUGUGAUUGUUAAAAAAUGCAAUCUCACGUCUGAAACUUAAAAAAUAAAAAAAUAAAAAUUACAACUCAUAAUAAAUAAUUUUAUAUUGGGAUUAGAUAUCUGUGAUCUAAACUUGUAUUGCACGGUUAAAAAAAAUAUUCUCUGCACGCCUAGAGAAACUGCAACAGUACGAGAAAUUUGUAAUGGAAUUUUAAGAUAAAGCAUCUUAAAUCAUGUUUUUUGAAAUUUGAACAAAAACUACUAGAGAGAAUGUAGAAGCUCUGUAUAAAUAUAACUACAGCCAUGCCAUUAGGAGCUCAUUUCUCUGUCCGCAUAUUUAGAAUUCGUAGCGGUUUUGUUAUCCUAAGAGCAAGAUACACGGAGUGUGAACGGAGAUAAAUCUUUUAUAAUUUGUUCAUAAAUUUUAGUUAGCAGCUUAUUGGGAGAGUCUAUUAUAGAUACUUUUAGUAUAACAACGAUGCAUAGAUGCUAGUGAUUAACAAGUAAUUUUAGUUAUUAGCAAAUUUAAGAGAAAAGAAGUUUCAAAGUCUGAUAUUUAUUUUAGUGACUAAAAGAAUGACGAGACUAUGAGCCUACUUGAGAUUGUUUCUCAAAAGCCUAAAAGCUUUUUCAUGAAACACUUUGAUAUAAAGUCAAUAAAGAAAAGAAAUUAAAAGACUGAAAAGAAGAAAAAAAUGGUCGUAACUUCGAUGCUUUACUGAAAAGAAGAAAGAAUGCAUGUGUGUGUGUGUAUAUAUAUAAAACACAAAAACUACACUCCUUUAAAUAGAUAAACUCUAUAUAUUACAUAAAAUAUAAAACAUCCAACGAUAUAAGAUAAACCUAAUAUUUAACUUUCUUAGUAUGAUAGCACUUGACCUCUCAUAUCAAAUUUUAUGAGUGGUAGUCGUACAACUCUUGAACACUUUCAUUUCACACAAAGUAUAGUUGUAUUCAGUCAAUUCGAAGUAGACCGGAAAGGAUUAGCAGGUACGGUUAGAUUGUCACCCUCUCCUUCUAACAUUUGAAUAACAACUUUCAUGGAAGGGCGAUCUAUGGGGUGCCAUUGGACGCACCAUAGACCCACAAUAGCUAGCUUCUUUGCAGUUUCAGCAUCUCCUCCGUCCUCAAUGUGAAUCCGUAGGUCGUCCCCUUGUUCUAAAAGGUUAUAAAUCCAUUCUGGGAAGUAGACUUCGCUGCUGGUGGAGUCCUCUUCCAUGAACUUAAAGUUUUUUCUUCCCCCGACCAUUUCCAGCAGCAACAUUCCAAAGCUAUAGACAUCUGACUUGUAGGACACGUUUCCAAAGUUCCUAGAGAACACUUCGGGCGCAAUGUAGCCAAUGGUCCCUCUGAUGGUAGUCAUGGAUACUGCGCUUUGAUCUCUAGAGCACAACUUGGCGAGACCAAAAUCGGAAACUUUUGGGGUGAAAUUCUGGUCUAGCAAAAUGUUGUGUGGUUUGAUAUCGAAAUGGAGGAUUCGGAGGUCACACCCUUGAUGAAGAUAUUCAAUUCCUUUGGCUAUACCUAAAGCAAUCUCAUGCAACUUAUCCCAACCAAGGAAAGCGCUUUUACUAUCUGCUGAUGAUAAGAUAUUCUGUAGUGAACCAUGUGGUAGAUAUUCAUACACAAGAGCUGUUGUGUACCCAUCAGCACAAAAACCAACCAUGCGAACCACAUUGACAUGGUGGACUCGACCCAUUGUUCCGACUUCAUUUAAAAAAUCUUCUCCUUUUUCAUUAGAAUUGUUGAGGAUUUUCACAGCUACAAGUAAGUCGGAGGAAAGCUGUCCUUUGUACACUGUUCCAUAGGCUCCUUGACCUAACUUUUCAUUGAAUUGAUUUGUUAUCCUUUUAAUAUCAGCGUAGGAAUAUCUACUUGGCUUGUGUGCUAUGUAAUCGUCCAAAAAUCUUUCAAUCCUCAACUGAUUUGUUUUCUCUAUUUUGUUGGAGCUAUAAACACGGUAAAUGAGAGUCCCCACGACUGUUACAACCACAGAAAAUGUGAAAAUACCUGCGGAUACAGAAGAAACUCUGCGUUAAGAACCAACCCAUUUCUAAAUUAAAUUAAAAUAAAUCACAAUUGCCUCCAACUGAUAAAGCCCCCAGAAAUCAGAACUGAAUUUAUAUUAAUACUUAUACAUAUAUAUAGGGUUCUUUUGUGGGGAAGUUAACGUGUCUUUUAUCCGGAUGCUGGCACUGAGUUUUGAACUCAUAAGGUUUUCUUGUACCUUAAAAGAAGAACCCUUUCAAGGAUGGGAUCCAAAACUUGAAAAACAAAUGAUGAAAAUUGGUGCCUGUUGAAGCAAGUUCCGACUAGGACCCUAAAAUAUAACAUACUGGCAUGAGGUUCAAUAAUCCAAACCGUCUUGGAUUUAGCUCUCCAUCUAAGAUUUAUGAUUAUGGAUCACACAAGUGUGCAAAAAUUAACCUAACUAUUAGCAGUUCAAAUUCAAUCUUGUAAAAAUAGUGCUUAUAUGUGAACAACUUACCAGAUAUCUCUAAGCUUGUCCUUCCACGGGUACUAUCUGUAAAAACAGGUUAAUUAAGUCAAUAAUUAGUACUUUUGUUAUCAAAAGAAUAAAAUACUUGAAGAAUUGUUUGCAUAAAUCUUUGUUUUCAUUUAAUAUAAAAAGUUCGAAUAUAUUCUUUGAGUCCAAAUUUGUUGUAUAUAUUGUCUGCACAAACUAGCUAAUUAAAACCUUGUCAAUGUGAAAAAGAGGGAAAUAUUUGCCGGCAAAGUACUGCAACAAGUCAAGUUAAAUGGGAGAUUAAAGGAUACCUUCGCUCACGCAUUCAGUUUCUUCAGUCUGAUUAUCUGUGAAAUUAUAUUGACCAAUGGUUCUCUUCAGUCUGCAAGGCUUGCCCAUCUCUUCGCAAGGUCCACAUGAUGGUUUGGACCACUGCAGCUUCAGAGAUCUGUAUUCUUUCACUGAUGAAAUAUCUGGAACUGAUGUGUAGUCAAGCUGCUUGGUACAAGAAACUAGGUUCAUUCGACCAAUGGAACACCGGCCGUCGACAGCAUAGUAGUAGGUUUGGUUUUCAGGAUUGUCAACGCCGUAAGGGCACCGACUCAGUUCAAUAAGACAAUACCCGUCCGUUUCAGGUAAUGGUGACGGACAACUGAAUAAAGUAGAAUUAGUACCAAACGGUCCAUGCACAAAUUGAAAGGUCGAGGAAGAGAAAAUAUCUUUCGGCAGGCAAUCAUUUUGGGAAUAUACUCUGAUUUCUUGAGAUGCGUAGUUAAUCGUUUCAACGAUGAGCUUGUUAGAUGAGGAUGGCAUCUCAAGCACAGUUCGGCCGUCGGUGGUGCAUGAUAGAUCAAAGCCAUGGUAACCGCACGAGAAUGGCUGUCCUUUAAGUCGAAAUGGGAAUCGGAUGGCUGGACCGUGGUGUUCACAGUGUCUUACUUUGCAGUUUUCAGGGACUACUCUGUCGCCAUACACUGUGCUUACAAAUCCAGCAUCUGCUAUCAUGAGAAACCAGCACAAGAAAUUGAUCAGAAGCAUUCUAUCCAAUGAGAAUAUUGAUUGUAGAAGUUUGGUAUCUUGGUAAUUCAUAUAUAUGAUUGUAUAUAAGAUAUGGGAUUGCAGAAGUCCCCUAUGUUUUGGGUAUAAAUAAUAAUCUCUUUUUAUAUUCACCCCUUCGUUCCAUUUCCUACCCCCAAAAACGGUUUUCUAAAUUUUUUUAAUCUUCCACCCAAUUUUGUUUUUAACUUCAAUUUGAAGGACUUGGUCGUGAUUUGCUUAUGGGUUAUUACCAUCGUUAUCAAAUAAAAACUUUUAGUCGCUUUUAUGCAACUGUUACUCGCCAUAACAUGAAACUGGAAUGCUGGAAACUGUUUCUUCCCCAGAUGGGCAGGAUCAACCCAUUAUUAUACAUGUUAUUCCGAGUUAGAUGAGGUGGGUUCUGUGGUCGUGUGGCUUCAAUAUUGGUCAUUCUACAUUGAGUAAUGCUAGGUAGAUUAACACUUUAGUAAUAAUCCAAUUAUCAACUUUCAUGUCAUUGAGUUUACAAAAUUUAUUCUAUAAAUUUAAUCUCUCUAACAUUACCCUUCUAGAAUUUGGAGUUGUCAAUAUAGUUUGGUUGUGCAAAUUUGUUCUCUUUAGUUUAGCCUUGGUUGUUGUUGUUGGAAUUAGUAUUGAUGAGACUUGUGUUUUGCAUACGUCUUUAAUGUAUUUUUAAAGUUUUUGCGAUAACUAUGGUUGUUAUGUUGAAAAACUAUUUAUUAAAGUUUUUUUUUUCAUUCAAUAAAAGAAAAAAGGUAAGUGAUUUUUACAUACGAUUUUUCUUCUCCUACGUACACAUGUAUAUGUACAUUUCUGGCCUUUAAAAAUAAAAAAAAAUAAAGUGCAGAAAAUGAAAAGAGAGUGUGUGGGAAAAAAAAUUAUAUAUAUAUAUAUAUUUUAUUUUAUUUUUUUAACAAAGGGAAAGGAUAAUACUUGGAUCUUCCCAGGAAGUACCUAAUUUACUGACCAUCUUACAGGCCAAUAAAUUUAAAACACCUAGCAUUUUAACUCUCUUCUAAUAUUUUUCUAUCUCUGUAACCAAACACAUUUUGUACCCGAGAACCCUCUCUUCUUCCCAUCUUCUUUCCUUGCCCAGCCCAACCCUUCACCUUCUCCGGCGACCAUCUCCAUGCCUAUCGGGAGUUUACUAAUUGGGCCACAAGUGUACCCACCGGGGAUAAUACUUAUUGGGCCACUUAAGAGUGAGUAAAUUGAAUAAUACUUGGGUCCUAACCUAUCAGGAUCAAAAGUGUACGGACCACUGACAUGGUCCAAUAAUAUAAAGAUAUCUGUAAUUUUAAAACGGGUUGUGCUAUUUAUAGAUCUUUUUUUUACUUCUUACACACUUUUUGUUAAUUUUUAUCCAUUGAUCUUCUUCAAUUCAUCCGAUAUCCGAUCCGACGACCGAAAAUUAAAAGGCUGUAUGAGAAGUAAAAAUACAUGUUUGGAUAUCACAGCCCUUUUAAAACACCACUAUUCUAGUAACCAAACACCUUGAAGUCCUAAACUCAUAACCCAUGACCAACAUCCAGAUUCCCUCCUCAGUGGUCAUCGACCGAUGCCCCACCUUUUCACCGCAUUCCCUCCCCAGCAUCUCUCUCUCAUCAGAGUCUGCAAUUCUUUUGAACUUCAAAGUUCCAAACCUCUUGUCUUCCACAACCUCCAAUUUCGCGGAUUUCCAUAACCCAAUUUUACCGAGCUCAGAUCUGGACGCCGGAGAGGGAUUGAAACUGACGUCGCCGGAGAAAAGAAGGAUUGGGAGUGGUCGGGAGUGAGACGGAGUGCGGGGGUUGCUGGAGAAAGAAGGGUUGAGGAAGAAGACUGGGUGAUUGGUUACAAGAAUAAGCAAGUGUUUGAUUGAGUUUCACUUGACAGGUGGAAUAAUUUUAUUGGACCACGUAAGUGGUCAGCUUGUCAGUAUUAUCCUAGUUUUACUCGUCUCGUGGGUUUGUCUUUGCUUCGUUUGUCAUAAAUAAUGGGCUCCAAGCGGCCAAUUUAUAUCUGAAUUCGCCCCUUUCUUGCCUUAAGCCAAAAACCCUUGCUCCCCAUUAAGCUUUUUUGCCCUCUUCCAUAAUUUUGAUACAUUUAUAUUCUCUUUUGCCAUGUGUAGAGGAAGUCUCUUACUAGUUGCAUAUGGAGCCCUUCUUCUACUCUUUCUUCUUCCCUUUAUUUGUUCCCAAACAUCGAUACCUGAAAAUAAUUCUGAUUGUACUCUUUCUUGUGGCAAUAUUGACAUAAGCUCUCCAUUUCGGUUAAAGGGAGACCCUCAACACUGCGGCAACCCUACGUAUGAGCUAACUUGUGAGGAAAAUGUUACAGUCCUCUACUUGUAUAAGCGAAAGUUUUACGCCAAGGCGAUCAAUUACAACAACCUUACAAUCCGAGUUGUGGAUGCUGCUGUUCAAAAGAAAGAUAACUACUACUCCAUCCCACGUUACUCUUUAACCUCAUCCAACUUUAGUUCUGGGUAUCCUUACAGCACUUAUCUAGCCCGACUGACGUGGAGUUCAAAUAGCCCGGACAUAAGUUCUAGUUACACGGCACGGCCUAUAAUUUUUAUGAACUGUCCAAAUCCAAUGCAUUCUCCUGGCCUUGUAGAAACAGCUCCAUGCGUCAAGGACGGCACCUAUUCUUCCAAUUCUUCUCUGUCCAAUGGUUUAAGAAUGUUUUCCUAUUCCAUCUUUGGCUGGAAUGGCUCCAUAAGUUCAUUGGAUUUGGGGGAGUCCUGUGAACUAACGCAGAUGCUUAUGGUCUCAC
rnacentral:lncRNA from 1 species